UUUUGCUUUGGAAUAUGAAGAAUGUUCCAGCCAACUUUCCAAGAAAUCGACAACGCUGAAACGCCAAGAUGCAGUAGUCGAGCUUAACAAUCUGGUCAACCAAGCGUUACAAGUGAUUGAGCACAUCCUUGAGUUGGAGAAACUAAUUUCUGGUGAUCGAGACAGUGAACCAAAAUUGGCGAGGGUAAUUAUGGAUACCCCAUUUAAUGCCUUCUGGUCAAUCAUAACUCUUGUAGCUUGCACAACUGAGCUCUCACUUCUUACCGGUGACGAGUAAGUUCUUGUACUAAUUUUUCUAUUAAGAUUUGAUAAAAGAAAACAAAAACAUUUCUUCUUGCCAACUACGUAUACGGGUUUUAUGUGUGUGUGUGUGUAAAACUAAAAGGGUUCUUUUGUUAAAAUCUAUAUUUGACAGUGUUUUUGUGAUGUAAUUUCUAAGAACAAGGAAUGAAGAACAACACAGAGAAUUUCAGAGAGAAUUGUAGGAGCUAAUCGUAGCUGCACUGCAAGAUAUUUUCAUUGAUUCAAACAUUGGUUGUUUGUACAAUCUUAUCUCUUCUUCUUCACUACAAAACAAAGACAACUAGCUAAAAGCAAUUUAAGCCCUUCAAUUAGGAAACUAAUAUGGUGCAUACAAUUGUCCUAUGAGACUAAGUCCACACCUUACCCACUAACAUAAAUUAAAACUAGCCACCCCCCAAAUUUAAAACUGGCAGAUUUCUUACAAUCCAAACUUUCGGGGACAUUAAGUCAAAUUUGCUAUAAUCCAAAUUUAAAACUGGAUUUCUUGCAGUUAAAACAUCUUGAAGGUUUGGUAUAUUAUAAAUUUGCUAAUUAUAUAUCUGACUAUCAUUUGAUUUGCUCUUAAAUUAUUUCAGGGACAUUAAGUCAUAUGAUCUAUCCCCUUUUUCUCAAAAAAUGGGCUUCAUCCUCAACAAGCUUGAUGGACAGCUUACAAUCUGCCAACAAGAAAAAGGUCGGUUGUGGAUGCAUGAUAUGACUCCCGAGGGACAUUAUAUAUUGCAUUUGCCAUUAGUCCAAUAUUGUUGAAUCUAUUUUAUUUUUCUAAUUAAUACAGAGGAGGCAAAGGCCAAGGAAAAGUUUUGGGAACUUAUACGCACUGCCCCUCCUGAAAUUACCGAGGUUUUCCAAAGGCUGGUUCUUUUCAAGCAUAAAGCGUAUCCGCAGCCUCCCAUCAUCAGUGUUAAUCCCACUAGCAAGGAGGUUUGGUCCCCUAGCACAUUGAUUUUCUUCGUAUCUGUAUUACUACUCAGCAACUUAUUUAAUUGUAGUUAUCUUCCUUAUUUUUUGGGUAAUCUGGGGAGGGGGGCGAACACCAAAAACACCUUGUUUGAUAUCCUAUUUGAAAUUUUUUAUAAUUUCUCAAAACAUUUCUUAAGAACUUUUCUUGAAAACAAUUUUCUUUAAGACUCAAAAAUGGUAUCCUAUUUUAGUUGUUGUUUUUUAACCUGUGUUUUUAAGACUCAAAAAUUCUUCUCUCUGUGAAUAAGCAGUCUCCAGCACCACCGUUCAAAUCACAUCUGAGACUCCAACAAACACACAAACCUCAUACCAAAAACACAGGUUCAACCUUGCAGCUCCAACACCGAUUUCUACCCUCUCAUCUUUCUUCACGGUCUCCCCUCUCCCUAUAGUUUCUCACUACCCAGUACCCGUUUCUUUAAUUUUGCAUCAGAAAUUAAGGAAAAUAAGGAAAGAUAAAUCGUAUUUAUUAAAUAAAAAACGAUACAUCCAAAUGAAAAUUUAAAUCACUCUGGACUUCAGCUCGAAAUAAUCACCCGGGAUUGAAUCCAAAAUACCAACAAUCAUAUUUAUCCUUCCGCCGUCAAGCUCCGCACCAGAAAGACAUCGUUUCCUCCAUAAGAUCCAAAAGAGAGACCAUACGACGGAAACUACGGAGAUGAGGAAAAACUUAAUGUAUCUGUCAGUGUACUCUUCCCACAAAAUCUGAUGGAAGCAACGAGCGAAGCAGAGCACAAACGACAGAAUUGAAAGACGUUCAAGAAGUUGAAGUUAUCAGAUGCAGUGACAGUGCGAGACAAAGUCUACCUAGGACAUUGAUUUUUUUCAUAUAUGUAAUACUACUCAGAAACUUAUUUAAUUGUAGUUAUCUUCUUUUAUCUAUUUUUCACGUACAGGUUUUUAACAUCGAUGCGCUAAGGGGGAAGUGUGUGUUAUUUUACAUUUCAAGCCUGGACAAUGUUUCUGAUCAAGAUAUUUUAUGUCUCAAAGAAGUGUAUGAGGGAAUCGAUAGGCAUAACAAGCGUGCGAUUGUGUGGAUCCCUGUUGUUGAGGACUGGACCGAAGGAGGAGAAGAGCAGUUUAAGGAAUGGAGGUCUAAGAUGCCAUGGUACGCGGUGCAAUAUUUUUUGCCCCCGGCCAUUGGGUACCUUGAGCAGCGGUGGAACUUCAAAGGUAAUCCUAUGGUGGUCGUGAUGAACCAGACCGGAAUUGUGGUAAACACCACCAUAAUCGACUUGAUUCGGACACAAGCAACGGAGGCAAUCGCUUUGCUUAACCUUGAGCGGCGGGUGCACAUCAGAGGUAAUCCUCACGAAGAGGACCCGUCGUGGAUCCUCCUGGCCAGUGGACCAUUUAAUUCAAGGUCAAUAGAAAGAGCACAUAAAAUUAUGUUGGCAAUGCUAAAUCUAAUGAUUUUGUUUCUCCUUUUUAUAAUUAUUUUAAGCAGGUGGUGCCCUGUUUGUACCGACUGCUGAAGCCGUGGAGGAGUUGAAGAGGUUAACUUGUCCUCAGCAAUCGACGCCUGUCCUUCUUGAUGGUUCUAACAAGCAGGUUUGCUCUCAUUCUAUAUUAAUAGUCAAGCUACGAUUUGGCAUUAAAAAUUAUCAAAUUAUCCGGCAGGUUGGAUUUGGCGUUAAAAGUUAAGGAAUCUCGUCAAAAUUUAUUCAUUAACUGUGCUGGAAUUUUCUUUCAAACAGGUUAAUAUCGACAAUGAGCUGAAGUGGAAGCAUCUGUUUUUGUUACUCUCCGACGUAGGCAUUGAAGAUUGUUACAUUUCAUAUCUCAAGCCAGUUUAUGAGGGAAUAAGAAGAUACGAUGGGUAUCGGAUUGUCUGGGUUCCCAUUUUGGAGCAGUGGAACAAAGACAAAGAAAAACAACUUGAGAUGUCUAGGUUGAAGAUGCCGUGGUACACAUUGAAGUGUUUUUCAACCAUACCAGGCAUCAAGUACAUGAAAGAGAAGUGGAAUUACAAGGGUAAGCCUGCGGUGGUGGUGAUGACCAGUGAAGGUAUCGUGAAAAAUGAAAAUGCUUUCCCCUUGAUUAAGAAACGUGGAAUGGACGCCUUUCCUUUCUUUAAGGUACCGUUUGGUACGCAGACGGGACGGGACGGGACGGGACGGGAUAGAAAGGGACUGGACGGAACGGAUAUUCCGUGUUACAUUUGGUACGGAACGGGACAGUUGUUCCGUUCGCCGUUCGGUAUUGACUGAACGGAACCAAAAGAUUAAAAUGACUAAAAUACCCAUGUUCCAUCUAUUGUUUGGUACAAUAUUUAUGCGUGGAACGGGAUAAGACUUUUUUUUUUUUCUUUUCAACUUGUUCAAAUUUGAACACUAUAUGCUUAUCCAUUAUUUGUUUUUCUUGGUCCAAAUUUUAUUAGGUAUAUGUUGUGUUCCACAUGCAACCCCCUUUAAAAUUUGUAAUUCUUCUAUGAUUUAGGUUGAUGAAGUCAGACUUCCUUGAGCCAGUGAAUAUUGGAAGUGAUGAGAUGGCUAGCAUGAAUGAGAUGGCUGGUUCUGUCUCUAUGGUCAUGGUUGCCAUGCAAUGUUGAAAAAUAUAUAAGUUUAAUGAUCAUACAUGACCUGAACAAACGAGCAUAUAAUUGCACCAUAAGUUAACAUACAUCGUCAUAUAGGGCGAUAAAGGUAAACAAAUGCCUAAAAAAUUACUAAUUCUACCUCAAAGUAGUGCCUCUUGAUCUCCAUCUCAACAUCAAGGCCAGUGAACUCACACAAAUGCCUAUGGGUAAAGGAGUCCUCAGCUCUAAAAACAGUACCAAUCUCAAAAAUACGGCCGAAGUCACCACAUAUAGCCAUCUGCUUGUGAAGCUGAGGCGACUGGGCAAGGCAUGCAUCUUGACCCUUGUAGUUGAGUCUAAAAACAGCAGCUCCACCUUCACUUGAACCAGCAAUCAGUUUUGGUGAGUGGAUUUCAAAAAAGCCUUCGGAUAUCAAGAAUUGCCUAAAGAUCUACACAACAAUGCAACCGACAUACAGAACUAAACUCUUAACGAUUUUCUCUAGCUUUAAAAAGAUAAAUAGCUGCAAAUGGUGGAAAGACUACUUACAUUGUUGGAUUUGUGACCAAGUGGACAACAAGCCAAAAUACCUUUCGGCUAAUAAAAUAGAAUAAGGAAAAGGGGGACAUCAUUAUGAUGUCUAGCCCUUGAUUUGUGGCUUUUACAAAGGCAAAGAAUAUGUGGCAAUUAUGGGUUUGUUCCUUUUGUUUAUUAUAUGUUUUUGGUUAUGCCUUUGGUGAAGUGGGAGCGGCAGUAGAGGAGAAAAAAGGGAGUUGUUUGUUGACAGCUCUAAUCAGUGAGCAGAGGAGAGAGCAUUCGGCUCUCCCAUUUUAAAUAGAGUUGCUGCCUUCCCCCUUUGUUAGUGAUCACUCAAUCAAAGAUAUUUGUGCUACAUGUUGUGGCUUUUGGGAGAGAAGGAAUUUGGUAUAUGUUUCCAUUUUCUCCAUUUGUUCUUUGUUUUAGUGAGAGCUAUUGGGUGUAUGUGGGAUUUGGGUUUGAGAGUUAAAACUCUAUUUGUAAUCUCCUUUUGAUAUUAGUGGAAUUUCCUCGCCGUCUCGGAACUGGACGUAGGCUUACGCCGAACCAGUAUAAAUCCUUGUGUUCUUUGGAUUAUUUGUCUUGUCAUAUUUUACUGUAUUAGCUUAUUGGUUUCAUAUUUGACGCUUCCGCACAACAAGUGGUAUCAGAGCUCUGAGUUUCGACUUGGGGCUUUGUACUAAUAUGUCUAUGAAACCUUCGAAUAUGUCGGUGAAAUAUGAUAUUGAAAAAUUCAAUGGGAGGAAUGAUUUUAGCCUGUGGCGGGUUAAGAUGCGAGUUGUGCUAGUUCAACAAGGGUUGCUUAAGGCGCUACAGAGUGUGGAAGCCUUGCCACAAGAUUGGUCUGCUGAAGAAAAAGAAGACGCUUUGAAUCGAGCACAUAGUGCAAUUAUGUUAUCACUAUCUGAUGAAGUUCUUCGUGAGAUGGAAAAUGAAACUACUGCAGCUGGUUUGUGGCUUAAGUUGGAGAGUAUAUACAUGACCAAAUCCUUCACCAAUCGUUUGUAUUUGAAGCAACGUUUGUACACUCUCCGUAUGACUGAAGGUACACCUAUUCAAAACCAUCUUUGAUAAGGUUAUUAUGGAUUUGAAAAGUAUGGAUAAUAAAAUUGAUGAUGAGGAUCAAUCUUUGAUUUUGUUGUGUUCUUUACCUCCUUCGUAUGCGAAUUUUGUUGAAACUUUGUUAUAUGGGAGAGAUUCUAUUUGUAUGGAGAAUGUAAAAGCCGCUUUGAAUUCAAGAGAGUUAAAGAACAAAGUAUUUGGAAAUUUGAAUGAUUCUCAUUCUGAGGCUUUGAUAGCAAGAGGCAGAGAUAGGGAAGCAUGAAAAUGAUCUCAAUUGCUAAAAUUCUGAAAUAAGCCGAGAGGGGCAGUCUUGGCGCCCAAAGACUGAAAACCAGACGACAUUUCAUCCCCAAACGCGAAACCCGCAACUCUCUCUCUCCACCACCCAUGGAGGAGACCGCCAUCAUUUCAAAACCUCGUCGCCGCCGACCUUCUGCAGUUCACCAAACUCCAGAACCCCCCAAAAACCAAAAAUCAACCAAAUCCCAAACCCACCAAACCCUCCGCUCGCUCGCCAAGAAAUUCCUCCCCUUCCUCAAUCGCGCGCUAUCCCUUCUCCCCAAACGCCUCGCCGACCCCUCAAAGUUAGAUGACGAAGUUGCCCUCGAACUCUCCGAUAUUUACCGGCUUUGCCUCUACUGCCUGACCGCCGUGUCCCCUGUGUUGUCCGCUUCGCCGUGCUCGUUUCACUCCCAGAGGGUGAAGAUGGUGAGUUGCCUGGUGGCAUGUGGGCGGUAUGAGGAUGCGGAGAGUGAGGGGUUUAGGAUUUUGGAGAGCCUUAAGGCGAUUGAAUUUGAAUCUAAGAAAUUGGUGAAAUGGGACCGGAGAUUUGUGCCAGAUGUGUAGAAGGGGGGAGGAGAUAAAGAGUUUAGGUCUUUAGUGGGAGAAAUUGUGGUGACGCUUGUGAAAUGUGCGGCCAUGAGUCAGAGUAAGGAUAGUGAGGUGUAUGGGCGGGUGCUUUGUUUGGUUGAGGAGGUCGUGCCGUGGUUCCGGUGAGUAAAUCGUCUGAUUUUCGCUUUCCGCAGAAUAUUGCUGUUAGUAAUUUGGAUUAAUCGUUUCAGCUUGAAAAGCAGAACCAUAAACUUAUCCGAAGCAGGCACAGUCUCACUGGCAUUUCGUGCACAACAUUAUAUAUGAUUUUACGGCUAUGAUAUGUAUACUGAUUGGUGUACCUGCUAUGAAAUGUCUCAGGGUAUUAGAUGCAAGCACAUGUGAGAAGUUGCACACGAAUCUCGCUGUCUACCUGAGUAGGUGUACUCAAUUUUUAGUUAGGGAGCUAUCAUCGUUCAACGGGGAUCUUGUGCAAAAGUUCUGCCUUGUAACCAUGGCUGAGUAUGUCAAGUCGUGAAUGAAAGAUACAAUGUUCAAGGUAGCCUAUGUUUUGAUUUUAUAGUUGCGAUUUAUAAAAAAUUUCAUGCAUGUAUCUAAUCAGUAACUGUCUUUUGUUCAUACAGUUUGCCCGUACGAUGUGUUCAUCUUUGUUCUUGUCUCGAGAGGACAGAUUCACGCUCUCUCGCAUCUUAUUUUGCUUGUUGGACUCCCUUGUCCACAAAUGUAAGGUAACACUGAGUUUUAAAUGUAUAUUUUAAGAUUGAAGAAUGUGGUUUGACCAAGAUGUCUAUGUUCAGUGAUCAUCGGUGCCCAUGACAAUGUUUAGUUUCAAGGUAUUGACUUGAAGGCUGAGCCAGUUUGUAUUAGAAAUGUUGACCUCUAUUUCAACUAAAUGGUAGAAAUAUGAUUGCAUGUUUUUAUUUGUAAUUCUUUAACUUUGAGAUACCAUACAAUGAUUAAGCUAAAAAGGUUGCCAUAUCUUCUGGAUUCAAAGUGCUUUGCCCCUUUUGAAAAUGUAUGAUGUCUUGGGAAUUAGACAUCGGAUUAUGCAGAUUUUCUAUUUGUUGUAUCUACUUGGUAUGUUUUAUUCCUCUGAUUUGAUUGCCAUUAUUUUCUUCAGACACAGCAUACUUGUUUUCUUAAUUGUAUUACAACUUUUUUUUUUUUUGGGUCAACAUCGCAUUACAAUGUUAAAGUGAAAUUGCCAUUUCAUAUGCAUAGACUUUUAGUACUUUACUAGGAAGUGGUGCCCGCGCGUUGCUGCGGGAUAAGAAAGUUUGUAGGUAAUAACAACUAAAAAAUUAUUAAAAAUAGAUUGAGCAUAAUUUGUAAAUUGUUCAGUUUUGACUAACGUUAUAUUAAUUUAUACAAACAAAUGCAUUGAGAUAUAAAGAGUAAGUGAAAUUGGAUACAUACCUUGGUUGAGAAUUUGGAUAACGUCUUAGAAAAGAUAAGUUUGUUGCAAUUUAGUACAACAAAGAUGGAUCAGAUUUGUGUAAAUUGGUAAACUCAGUUUUGAUCAUCUAAAGUAAAAAUCAUCAUUUCCGUCUUCUCUUCAGAGGAAUUAACUAUUACCAAUUUAUAUAGACAUCAUACCACUAAAGAUAAACCUUGUCCAUAUUUUCUAAAUUUGUGAAAGAACAUAUUAGAUUAAAAUAUGAGGAGAGGGUAUAUCUCUAGUACAAAUGUCUACUUUUAUACCUUUGGAUAUCCAAUUUAACUUUUCAAUAUGCAAGCAGGUAAUUUGCCAUGUAUUUAGAUCAUGUGAAAAGAUAAUUUGUAUACAUAUAUUAGUAAUAGCUAAUUCCCCUAAAGAGAAAGCUUGACAAAAUUUGUAAUUAAAUGUAAAACGUCAAUAAAAAAAAUUAAUAAAGUAUUAAUUAAUUUUACAUACAGUUAUAAAACUAUAACGUAAAAGUAGCUCUAGAUUAUAACUUAAGCAAAGAAAUAUGUGAAAAUAAUGAUUCCAUAUACAAUUUAAAGCCAUAGUAUUGACAGCAACCAGACAAUUAUCAAACAAAAGGAAGAAAUAUAAUCUUUCACACAAUUUUACAAAAGCAAAAAGCACUUACACAAAACACACUCAAUUGCUAGUAACCUUGACAGCUGAAAGCUACUUCAGCAGCUGAAAUUACUGUAGGAACCGAGAUGCAGCAGAGAUUUUUUCAAAUUGAAAUUAAUCUGCAAAUGAUUGCAAACACAAAAAUAAUUCAUUUUCAAAUAAAGAUAAAACAAACUUAAAAUAUUUCCAGGGUACUUUCAAAAACAGGAGAAUAAAAACGAAGCUUUUAUCAACAUGACUCUCAAUUUUAUAUAGAUUAGCAUAAUUCAAUUUAAGCACAAAACUGAAAGUCUAAUGAUGACAGAAUACAGUGUAAAUGUUACUAAAAUAACUUGUCAUACAGAAUAAGCAAGGCUUUUAAACUACAAUAUUAAUCGAGCAAAUUUAUAUAUCAUUAUAAAUGUUAUUAAAAUCAGCUAGAAUACAAAGCAGUAAAGAUUUAUAUCCGAGGAUAAUAUUUUAGACAUUAAACUAUAAAACUACUUAGCCGCUCCUGAGAAGAAUACAAAAAGUUUCUUUUAACCACCAUUUUAAAAAACAGAACAACCAAUAUAUACACAAUCACAAAGCUUGAUCAAAUAAAAAAGAUGUAACCACAGUGGAGCGAACAAAUAUAACCUUUUGAAUAUGGUUUUUUUUAAUUUUUUUUUCACAUCAUUCCCUACAAAAAAAAGCAAAAACCGCGAGUGUCAAAUGGAUUAUAACAACACUGUGUGAACGGAUGUCCACGUGAAGCUGCGGAUGCCAGCCUGAUGUUACGGAUGCCUGUGUGAUUGAGAAUAACUUGCACUAAAUUCUAUAUAAAAAAGGGACAGAUUAACAUAUUUAAGCUAAGUAUUAAGAUGCAAACAUUCUUAAGAUAAGAAAUCAUAUAAUUAAGCAGAAAAUUGAUAACGUAUUCAAUAAAACUACAAAAGGAAAAGGGGUUAUAGAAAAUUACACUUUAAAUAUUUCCAAUUAGUGAUUAAUCACUUUGAUUAUUGGCAAUCUACAAACAAUGACUGAUUAACGUCAAAUGAAAUUGACAUAAAAUUCAAAGAUUCAAGAAUUUAAUUAAAAAUUAUACAUAUACUAUCCGGACCUUAUUGUAUAUAAAUAAAAAUUCAAAUAAUAAAAAAAAAAUUCAAGGUUCCAUGAUGGAUAGUUUUAAAAAUUAGAAGCUGAGAUGGUGAUACCUCCAGCAUUUCUCAAACUCUCAACAUCCUGAAACAAUAAAGCAAAUCAACAAUGCAACAAACAUAAAUCACAUAAAGAAAAUAACACACUGUAAAAAAGAUGCAAAAAGUUGAGCAGAAAACACACACCUUAAACUUCUCAAUCUAUUCUUUAGGAGUGCAUUAAGGGCCCAACUGCAUUUUACUGCUUUCUUCUUCAAUCUUCCUCUCACUUGUACACUCAUCUGCCUUCCAAUCCUCACCAUUCCUUCACUAUCUGUAUAAAUAAAAAUAGAAAAAGAUAUAACACUCUUAAAUCAAACCCCAAAAUAAUUGGGUAAAAGCAUUUUAGAUUAAAACCCAAACCUAAACAGCUAAAAAGACCAGCACAUAAAAUUAAUAAAUGAAUUAAAAGAACAGUAAACAUAUAUUAGUCCCAAGAAAAAGAUAUCUAUUGGACGUAAUGUAUGUUUCCCACCUUAAUCAUUUUUAUAUUGUUAUUGUUAUCAUGUUGGCUAGCACCCAGCGUAGUGCUGUAGUGGCGUACAACUUUUCCUUUCUUUACUGUACCAAUAGCUCUCUUGCACCCCCAUGUUGAGCUCUUCUCUGCAUAUAUACCUCUUGUAAGUAAUCUUAAUCAGUCAGUUAUCAUAAAUAUACAACUUAUAUUAAUUUUCUACAAUAUCCAACACACAAACAUAACAGAAGAAGAAACUUUUACUUAAGCGGCGCAAAAGGAUAUCCUCUGCAUUUCAUUCCAAAAUCCAUCACUCUUAUGUCUUUGCCUGCACAGUUUUUGCUCCAACAUAGCCUGCCAUGAUGAUAGCACUAUCAAUAAUUAAGACAUAAAGAAAGGCUACCCUAGCUAGCCAUUAUCGUUGGAGUAAACCAAUAGCAUCGUAAGUAAAGUAGCAGACCAAGUUUUUUUAGAAUUGAUGUGUUAACAUGUUUAAGUAGCAAAAAGAUUACAACACGUUGGAUGUGUUAACACAUCCAUAAGCUGAUGAUUCCCUCUCCGGUUUAUCACAUCAUUCUUAAUAUAUUCAACAAUGUAGCAACACUGAACUCACAUAGACUACGUUUUUUAACUGUCUCUCUCUCUCUCUUUCUGAUCAUCCACAUGUGUUUCUGAGAAAUGUUUAGCCAUUUAACUAAAACACAAAAAAUAAAUAAAAAAUAAAUCCUCACCCACAUCAAAAAACCGAAACAUGCAGAGCACAACCCAAAAAUUAAGGAUGACCAUCCCUCUUUUUUUUUUUAAAGUUUUAGGGAAGGAUCGAUGCACAGACAAUCGAUGUACAGGAAAACCCUAACCUAAAAGACCAAAAUUUCCCAAGAUGAAAAAUGCAAUUAGAUGGAACAACCAAACACAAAUAUCAUAAAAAAUGCAUAAAACAUUCCAAAUAAAAAACCCACACACCUUAAUCGAAAAGGGUUUCCAAGAUUGCACAGAGAAACCCUAAAAUUGAUAGAGCAGUAUAUCUUGAAAGAAAAAAUGCAAUCAGAUUAAACAACGAUGCUAAAAACACGAAAAAAUUAGGAAAGAACUGAUAAAAAAACGCAAAGAUUUUAAUUUUACACCAAUCGAUCUACAAUUUUUCUUCCUAAUCAAAGAAAAGAGAAAAAGAAUUAAAUAGACAAACCACCUGAAACACCGCGAUCAGUCAGAAAAACCACCUUUUCAGACGGCAGACGAUGAACACAAACAGAGAAGCAAGGAAACACGAAGAUCGAACAGGGAGAAAAGCAGAAAAACAGAGAGCAGGCGAAAGGAAAAAGCAACGGAAGAAAAUGAGAGAAGGUUCGAGCACCUUUCCGUAUGUAGGCUCAUUGCACAGAGGGGCAAAAUCGACAAUUUCUGUAGCAUCUUUUAAAAGGCUGAAAACCGUGCGUUAGAUGAGGGACAAAACAGGAACGGCACUGUUAAUGAACAGUGUUUUUCCACCAACGUUUAGUAUAGAUAGAAUAUUGUCUCUUUUACCGAGUGACAUCUUGAUGUAAACUUUUUAUUUAUUUGAGCACCUCAUAACAAAUGUUGCCUUGAACCUUAUAUACAAUUUCUUUCCUUUUGGAGGUGGUGCUAUGUUCGUUUGAACCGUUUGGAGAUAAUUACUUAUGGAAUUGAAUUAGUCAGCUGCUUAUUGCAUUUCUGUAAACUUUUGGCAGGCUAAAGUGGAAAAUACAGGAAAAGAGUUCAUUGAAAUUAUUGCUUAUUGUGCCAAGAAAUGUCAAACUACAAACCCAAACCUUUGCGGUGUUGUUGGAUCCCAUUUAAAUAAAUUAGCAGGUGAUUUCCAUCAGGUAUCUUAUUUAUGUAGUUUGCUCAUAAAAAUUCAGUAAACUGGCACUCGUUUACAGUAUUUGCAUUUUGUGUUGUAAUUUAAAAUACAGCCUUUUUGUGCAGGUUGGAACACCUUUUCAUUUGAUUCUAAGGGUUUGUGCCACUGGAUUGCACUUUGUUGAUUGCAGUAUGAAGUAAAAAAUUAGUCAUCUUCAAUUAUUUGAAGGUGCAGUCAGAGUUUUGUUUGAUGAUGGGGACGCAAUGAAUCGUUUGUCCGACUUGCUUGGUUCAUGGAGAAGUUUUUUCCAAUUUGGCGGCAUUGACGACCCUUUGUUCCAAUUUGCAGUUGAGUUCGGACAAUGGGGAAUCAUUGAUUCAAAUGCAGGACAGAAAGAACUAUCUUCUGUCUUAUUUUAAUGCAUUGAAAUUCUGAUGCCUGCCGCUUACAGAGUUAGUAAAUUCAGGAGGGAAACAGAUUAUUACAAAUAAUGAAGCUGCUUUUGUUUCUGCUGAAUUGUGCCAUAUCCAGGGUGCUUCCAUCAGUUUUGUUUUCUUUCUCUGCAAAUGUGAGUCAACAAUAAGCUUCAGUGUUUUCAUUUCUUUGAGUAUUAUGUACUCGUGACUGAAGUUGCUUGGUCUUCUUAAUCCACAAUUUCUUCAGUCCUUUCCCUAAAUACUAUCUCACAAGAUCACAGUCAGUUGAUGUUAUAAGAUGUAUCUGAAAUAUGUUUGUGCGUGUAUAGAGAUGGAUUUGAUGGAAACAGCACCCUUGAUGUUGCUCUGGCUGCUUUUACCCUCGCCAUCAUAACAAAGCUGAAAAUGCAGGUUGUCAUUCUUAUGAUAUAAUACUGAAAUUGUUACGCCCCAAUCCCGACAUACGUCCAGGAUCGACACGUGACGUCACUAAAUACCCGUAUAUCUAACUUACCUCGCCUCCUGAAUAUAUAUACAAAGUAUCGUUCAAGAUCCAGAUGCACAAUAAUUUUUCGUAUACUUUAUGGCUGCAUCUAACCUCCUCGUUAGACUGCCUACGUACCCUCAAAAGGGAUCAAGCCAUUCGUAGUUCACCAAUCGUCAACUCCAAUCUUUCCGUAAAAUACUUCUAAUAGCAAAUCAUAAGGCACCAUAUUACACAUCAACCUUACGUCAAACACAACAAUUAUCAUCUUUCAUACACGCAUGAAACCCAUUCUCACACAGAUACUUUCCAAUUCAUCCAUCAUAUAAAUCAUUCUGUUUCACACAAUGCCGCAAAUCAUAGUAUGUAACAUAUCCAAGAACCAACGAAGCACAAUGUUAUUCUCAAGUCACAUUAAUCAAUUACUCAAUUCAUAAUAAUCUCAAUUAUACCCAACGUCAUUCCACAAUCACAUCAAUUAAUUAAUCAUGAAUCAAAGAUACAUGAUCUUAGCAUUUAAUUGUUUAAUCAUUGAAUGCAGUAACAUAUCAUUUCACAAAUUUAACCAAGGAACUCUAACGACUCUGAAGACAUCCAACGAAUUGUUUGAAACAAAUCACAACAGCUCAUAAUCAUAAUCUCAUACAACAGAAAAGUAGGGCUAGAGCAACACAGUUCGGCCAAAGCCUACAUCUAUGAAGCUAUCUCGAUCCAAACUCAAUAAAACCCAAGGUGAACACGAUCCCGGACCAUCUCUCAACAGAAUCGUGAAGUAGGAGGGAUUCCGGACCAUCUCUCAACGGAAUUCGAGUGGAUACGAUUCCGGACCAUCACUCAACGGAAUCGCGGAGCACAAUGCCUAAUCACCACUAAGUGAAACCCAAGUUAGAUACGAUUCCGGAACAUCACUCAACGAAAUCGCGGAGUAGAAGGGAUUCCAGACCAUCUCUCAACGGAAUCCGAGUGGAUACGAUUCCGGACCAUCACUCAACGGAAUCGCGGAGUAGAAGGGAUUCCGGACCAUCUCUCAACGGAAUCCGAGUGGAUACGAUUCCGGACCAUCACUCAACGGAAUCGCGCGGAGUAGAAGGGAUUCCGGAUCAUCUCUCAACGGAAUCUGAGUGGAUACGAUUCCGGACCAUCACUCAACGGAAUCGCGGAAAGCCAACAACCAUAAUGUGCGACGGCUCAAAGAAAUGAGACAAGCACAAGUUGCUUAAUUUACAAAAGCUUGACAAGGGAAAUUAGGCACAAAUACUAAAUUUAGAACUAAUCGACGAAGCGGGAAAUGAAACAAUAUCAAAGCAACAAAUCCCCAUCACCAUGGUUAACGGUCCAUUACUAGUCUUCACAUUUCAUCACAACAUGCCAAUCAUACAAUUCAAACCACAUUCCACAACAUUUCAAUGCAUAAAUCAAACAUGCUUAAUAAACAAGUAUAAUAUAAUACGGUGCCACUAGUACAUGAAUCGAGUCACACGUCAACCGAGGAGACAUGUCAUCACGAUGAGCCCAUCAAGUUCCAUGAAAUCCCAACCACACUCUAAGCUCAGAGGUACGCUAGAAGAACUCGGCUAGUUGAUGGAUUUCUCUAUAUAUACUUCUAAUACGAAUCUACGAUCACAUUGUCACAACAUUUAUCGGACUUACCCUUCACAUUACUAAAAAGAUAAUUAAACGCACAUAUAUCACAAUCAUCAUCCGUACAUAAGCCAAUUCAUGUUUAAUAGACAUAAGUCUAUGGCUAAACAUAUAAAUAUAAAUCAUAUUUCAAUAGAAAUCCUAUUUAGAAGACCAAUUCAUAUUCACAAUUGACAUCAAUACCAUCAUUCAAUUAGUAGUAAGGAAGAUUAGAAAGGAAUCUGGAAAGAAACUAGGUGUGGCAAAAACAGUACUCUGCUUCUCCACCAAAUCUGCAGAAAACAGCUCCAUUAGACCAAGUUUAGGCUCUCUUUGGAACAUUCGAACUAAAUCAAAUCACAUAAUAUUAUAUGGGUUUUGAAGCUUGCGUUCUGUACUUUAAAAGCAUACAAAGUUUGUAGAAAACGGAGCUCUAAAUUGGAAGUUAUGCCAAUUAUAAAAUGUAUCCCAAAACUAGAAAUGCAGAACUUGCUGUCUGGCAGCUUUGUGACUCAAAUUUGAUCAUAGUUUUGGUCAACCAAAACUCAAUGGAAUUAAGUGAAAUCAGAUGGGUUUUGAUCAUGGACAUGUCUAUUUUCAAAACACCCAAUAUUAGUUCAAAAGGAGCUCACAAGGACAUAGAAAUCAAGAGCCAAAGUAGGCUAAUUGAAACAUAGUUUCCCUUUGCAAAAAUGAAUAAGUUUUCUGCAAUGUAAAACCCAUACUAGUUUAAUCCAAUUUACAAUUUCAGGGCAAUCCCAAACUAUCCAGGAAUCAUAUUCAACUUCUAUUUCAAUGUGUUAGCUUACCUAUAACAUGCUUAAUUCUUCCCCUCUUAGCCAAAGACUACAAACAAUUCAAUAAAAUUAAAGUAUGUACCAUUUCUUGUUCUUGUCUUGCCCUCCAAAGUCAUUCAACAAUCUACCACUUAGCUACUAAGCUCUUAAAUCAAUGUUACCACCACAACUCCCCAUCAAGAACAACAGAAAUUCAAGUUAAACACAUAAAUCUCAAACUUGUGGAAAAAUGAAACUUGAAAUUCGAAAGAUCCACUUACAUAUUCUGGAAGCGCAUGAAGAGAGGAGUAUUAUUCCCUCUUGGGUCAAGACCUAUCUCUGGCGAGGUUAGCCGAAAUCGGCGAAAAAAUCACAAAAACCGUCGAAGCUUCUAGGCUUCAAAGUAUGGGCACGUUUUGUUCGAGCAUAUGGGUUUGGUAUCAAUUUGAAGAGCGCUUCGCUACGAAUACAUAGGCUUCGACCGCGUGUAAUUUCGUUUCCGUACGAGAAAGUUAUGAUUCCCUGAAAUUUUUGGAGAGAAGGAGAAUUAAAGGGUAGAAAAAUCAACAGCCCCCCCUUGGUUUUUCACGCAGGAAAGAAGAAAAGCAAGUCCUUGGCUUCUAGAAAGUUUCCUCUUGAAUUUACUAAAAUGUCCGUAACUAUACCGUUAGAAAUCGGACUUGCAAACGGCUUUCGUCUAUGUAUUCGUGAUCUCGAAGUCUAUUCAACAAUACAAAUUGUGACCUCAAAAGGUUCACGGAUUUUAACUAAUUAAUUCCCAAACUUCAAACUUUGUAACUAAUUUAAUUAAAAUCUAAAUUCAAAUAAUUUAAAAUAAAUUCUCGAAAAAUAAUAUAAAGUCUCAAUAAUACAAAUACGUAGGUGAUAACAGUGAAAUCCAGGAACGGGAUUUCACAGAAAUGGUCCGAGUUAUUUGUUUUCUCAUAAGUGAAAUAUUUAUUUCUUAUGACUCUUGUACAGCACAAUCUUUAUAUGCGCAACUAGGUAAUUUGCUUGCCUUUUUCUUAUUUCAGAAGAGUGUGCAAAUACUUGAAAAUAUCAUCACCAGGGCUUGGAUUCAACCUCAUGGUCUAAAGCAUCUAUAUGUCUCUCUGUACAAUACUGAGAUACAUUUGUACCGAAACAAGGAGCUAAAAGAGGUAUUCUUUUACAGAAUGAUAUAUCUAUGACUGGAUGGCAUAUGAUGUAAUAUGAGAAGCAUUAUUUUUAGUCUAAAGUAAUGUUGGGUUCUAUUAUAUUCUACUUGUUUUCUUUAUUGUACUAGGCUCUGUAAGUGGUCUUAUGUCCUGAAUAAAUUUUGCCACACAUCCAUUCUAAACAUUCAACCAUUUCUAGUUUGAAGUUGUAUUUUCUACAACCAUUUUAUACAAUUAGCUUUAGUAGUUUAGUUUGCUUCUAUAUUUCAUCAGAACUAAUUUGUUUUUAGUUCCAGAAAUGAUUCCCGCGGCAUGGUUUGAGGCCCCAUGUUAGAUAGUUUUGGUUUUUUUUUCUUUUAUAUUGUGUUUGGUAAUUAUAGGUAGUAGAAAUAUAGGAAGCUAUAAGGAUUUAAUCAAUUUACAACAGAUGUGAUAGAAAUAUAGGAUCACUCUAUACUAUAUUUCAAGCUUCUAGUUGAUUAUCUGCAUCUGUACUUUCAUUUGGACUGGAUAGAGUUGCAGACAAGGCACUGCUUUAUCUCUCAUUUACUGAACUUUUUAUCUUUAGAAGUUAGCUUUAUAUACAUCUAGGCUCUUGCUUUGUUUAAAUAUGUUUCACUUUUGUCCUAAUUAAACCAGAUUCAAGGAAAUUUUCUGUUAUUUUUUAAUGUUUCUUUUUGUUCCUGUAAUAUCACUUUGUACAGUAAACUUUUUUUAUUUCAAUCUUAUAGGAUAGGGACGCAGCUGUUUGAUUGUUCUGUGUAUUUCUGUUUGGAUGUUGUAGUUGUAUCUGGCUCGUUAUUGGUGUAGGCAGGUGUUUAGUUCUUUGGGCGUAGUGGAUAUGUUGUCCACUAUAUUGCACGUCUCUUUUCUUUUAAUGAAAUCUAGUUUCCUAUGAAACAGUAAAACCACUUUUGUACCGUUUUUGGACUUUAGAGUUCUUUUGGAGGCCUUUCUUUUGUUAACUUUGUAAAGUACCUAUGCAGGCAUCAGAGGCAUUGAACUUAUGUUGUAAGGCAUCAUGGACUCGUGUUAUACGUCUUUGUGAGAUGUUUGCACACAAACAGAAGGUGUCCCAGGUUGAUCUGUCAGAAGAUGCCAUUGUAGAUUUCUUUAAUGAGUGCUGUACGAGAAGUGCUUUUCUUUUGGACGUUCUUAAUGAAUUGCACAGUUAUGAUGUGGAAAGAACUUUAUUAGAGAGCUUUGAAAAUUAGUCUAUUUCUGCAUACUUGUUUAGGAGGCUGCCAGGUCCUAUGGCUGUGGUGAAGCAGUGGGUUAAGGUAUCAUCUGAGAGUUUCCUUUACUUUUCGUAUUGUGUUUACUUAACAUCAUCUAAUCAUCAUAUGUCAACACAAAAUCUCAAAUAAUCUUAAAAUUUUGUAUCAAUUAACAUGCUGCGGUAUCUCCUUAUGCAGCUUGUUAUUGUCUUCUAAGAAAUUCCCAAAGAAGAUAAACGAAAUUGUUUUGGAACAGGUUAGAACAUUUUAUAUCUCUUUUCUGUUGGAGUUCAUUAAAAAUUUAUCCUUUUUAUAUUGGAGUUUGAAAUAUUUAUCCCGACUUUAGGUUGCAGUUGUACUAACUUCUCUCACGUCUACAUUUCUAUCUUGAAAUAUCAGGAACUUCUUGCGUAUGAGGAAAUAUUUAUCCCGAUUUGCUUGGUUCAUGGAGAAGUUUUUUCCCAUUUGGCUGUAACGACGACCCUUUGUUAUCCAAUUCGCAGAUGAGUUCGGACAAUGGGGAAUCCUUGAUUCAAAUGCAGGACAGAAAGAACUAUCUUCUGUCUUAUUUUAAUGCAUUGAAAUUCUUAUGCCAGCCAUUUACAGAGUAAAUUCAGGAAGGAAACAGUUUAUUACAAACAAUGAAGCUGCUUCUGUUUCUAGUUUCUACUGAAUUGUGCCAUAUCCAGGGUGCAUUCCAUCAGUUUUGUUUUCUUUCUCUUCAAAUGUGAGUCAAUGAUAAGCUUCAGUGUUAUCAUUUCUUUGAGUAUUAUGUACUCGUGACCGAAGUUGCUUGGUCUUAUUAUCCACAAUUGCUUCAGUCUUUUCCCGAAAUACUGUCUCACAAGAUCAUAGUCAGUUGAUGUUAUAAGAUAUUUCUGAAAUAUGUUUGUGCGUAGGUGCAGAUGUACAUAUGAGGUGGAUAGAGAUGGAUUUGAUGGAAACAGCACCCUUGAUGUUGCUCUGGCUGCUUUUACCCUCACCAUCAUAACAAAGCUGAACAUGCAGGUUUUCAUUCUUAUGAUAUAAUACUGAAAUAGUCCCAGUUAUUUGUUCUCUCAUAAGUGAAAUAUUUAUUUCUUAUGACUCUUGUACAGCACAAUCUUUAUAUGUGCAAACUAGGUAAUUUGCUUGCCUUAUUCUUAUUUCAGAAGAGUGUGCAAAUACUUGAAAAUGUCAUCACCAGUGCCUGGAUUCAACCUCCUGGUCUAAAGCAUCUAUAUGUCUCUCUGUACAAUACCGGGGUGCAUUUGUACUGAAACAAGGAGCUAAAAGAGGUAUUCUUUUACAUAAUGAUAUAUUUAUGACUGGAGGCAUAUGAUGUGAUAUGAGAAGCAUUAUUUUUUGUAUAAAGUAAUGUUGGGUUCUAUUACACAUCCAUUCUAAACAUUGAACCAUUUCUAGUUUGAAGUUGUAUUUUCUACAACCAUUUUGUACAAUUAGCUUUAGUAGUUUAGUUUGCUUCUAUAUUUCAUCAGAACUAUUUUGUUUUUAGUUCCGAAAAUGAUUCCCGAGGCAUGGUUUGAGGUCCCAAGUUAGAUAGAUUUGGUCCUUUUUUUUCUUUUACAUUGUGUUUGGUAAUUAUAGGUAGUAGAAAUAUAGGAAGCUAGAAGGAUUUAAUCAAUUUACAACAGAUGUGAUAGAAAUAUAAGAUCACUCUAUACUAUCUUUCAAGCUUCUAGUUGAUUAUCUGCAUCUGUACUUUCAUUUGAACUGGAUAGAGUUGCAGACAAGGCGCUGCUUUAUCUUGUUAACUGAACUUUUUAUCUUUAGAAGUUAGCCGUGGGCUUUAUAUACAAUCUAGGCUCUUGCUUUGUUUAAAUAUGUUUCACUUUUGUCCUAAUUAAACCAGAUUCAAGGAUAUUUUCUGUUAUUUUUUAAUGUUUCUUUUUGUUCCUGUAAUAUCACUUUGUACAUGAAAUUUUUAUUUUCAAUUUUAUAGGAAAGGGAUGCAGCUGUUUGAUUGUUCUGUGUAUUUCAGUUUGGAUGUUGUAGUUGUAUCUGGCUCGUUUAUUGGUGUAGGCAGGUGUUUAGUUCUUUAGGCUUAGUGGAUAUGUUGUCCACCAUAUUGUGUGUCUCUUUUCUUUUAUGAAAUCUAGUUUCCUAUUAAACAAUAAAACCACUUUGUACUGCUUUUGUACUUUAGAAUUCUUUUGGAGGCCUUUCUUUUGUUUAACUUUGUAAAGUACCUAUGCAGGCAUCAAAGGCAUUGAACUUAUAUUGUAAGGCAUCAUGGACUCGUGUUAUACGUCUUUGUGAGAUGUUUGCACACAAACAGAAGGUGUCCCAGGUUGAUCUGUCAGAAGAUGCCAUUGUAGAUUUCUUUAAUGAGUGCUGUAUGAGAAGUGCUUUUGUUUUGGACGUUCUUAAUGAAUUGCACAGUUAUGAUGUGGAAAGAACUUUAUUAGAGAGCUGUGAAAAUUGGUCUAUUGCUGCAAACUUGUUUGGGAGGCUGCCAGGUCCUAUGGCUGUGGUGAAGCAGUGGGUUAAGGUAUCAUCUGAGAGUUUCCUUUACUUUUCAUAGUGUUUACUUAACAUCAUCUAAUCAUCAAAUGUCAACACAAAAUCUCAAAUAAUCUUAAAAUGUUGUAUCACUUAACAUGCUGUGGUAUCUUACUUUUAUGCCAUAUCUAGAUGGAAUGUAACCGUUACAAGGAUGUGAAUGUCGAAGAUGAUACUCGAACCUUAUACAGUUUGUUAUUGUCUUCCAAGAAAUUCCCAAUGAAGAUAAAUGAAAUUGUUUUGGAACAGGUUAGAACAUUUUAUAUCUCUUUACUGUUGGAGUUCAUUAAGUAUUUAUCCUUUUUCUGUUGGAGUUUGAAAUAUUUAUCCCGACUUUAGGUUGCAGUUGUAGUAACUUCUCUCAUGUCUACAUUUCUAUCUUGUAAUAUUAGGAACUUCUUGCGUAUGAGGGAAUGACUGCGGUGAACCCUGAGUUUUGUCAGAAAAUCAAAUGCAAAUGAAAAUUAUAGAUUUCCUACUGAAAAUGUGUAUGUCACACCAAAUAAAUGGUUACAAAAAUCAAGAAUUUUAUUGAAAAAGGGAAGGGCAUUAAGGCUCUCUGGAAUCAGAGGUCUGAAGGACUGUAUUCAGUGUUUAUCAGAUGCAAUAUGUUUACUUGUAAGUAAAUUUAGAUAAUAGUUUCUUGUGUUUUUUUUUUUUAAUGAAUCUCAAUAACUCGCCUUUUGCGGGUUAUGCUUUGAUAGCUUUGAAGUUGGAUUUCUUGCUGACAUUAAUAAGCUACUGUACCAGAGUGACAUGUAUGAUGGUAUCCAUGAAAUUUCUCCUUGCCAUCAAUUAGCUGUGGCAUAUUGCUUACGUGCACUUUCGACCUAGGAAGCUGAAUCCAACUCAAAGGUGCUAAUUCACGAAAGUUAUUUCCCAAGUUGGAGUUAAUGCUACCAAGCUUCAUACGCUAUUUCUAUAUGUUAAGUGUCAUUUAACAAUUUUGUCCAGCUAUUUGAUUUGUAUUUGUUAUGACUCAUGAGCAGCGAGUGCUUGAAGAUAUCAGUGCUGCCAUUAAUCUAUGGUUGGGCAUUUCUACUCCAGAUAAUUGCCCUUCAGCUGACAAGUGCUCCAUGUUGUCUGAAAAUACUAUAUUGCUACGGUACAAUGUUAUUGAUCUGUUAUCCAUCAAGGUUUGUCUUUUGAUAUUGUUGGGUGCUGUACGCUCCACCUGAAAAUAUUAUUUCUUUUUGACAUGAUAUUAUUUUUAAAAUGACAAUGCUUUCUUUUCUUCUUUAUCUUCAGGGUUGCACGGACUUUCACAAUGAUAUACAUAGGCUUAUGAUUAGAUUAUUUAAAUGGAGUAAUGUCCCAUUAGAGAAGUGCGUUCUCAGAUUUUGGGAAUGUAGAAGGAUUAGCCAUUCCCUUUGUGCCUCACCUGUAAAUGAGACAUUCAUCAUGAACAUAUCGGAUCAUUGUGGUGAACUUUCAAAGUCUCUUUCUUUUUGGAUGGAUUGUCUAAAAGAUUUCAAACACUUGCUUUUAGCCUUCCAACAUAGUUUCUCAUUUCUGUUUCCAAACUUUCCUCGGGGCCCAUGCAAUCAUGACAGCUUGUUUCGAUCAGAUAUCACAGUUAAUGAAGUCAAGCAAGCUGCUUUUGAGCUUAUUUCACAAGUAAGUUCCUCUCAAGUUGCCACCGUGAAUUCUAAUGCCUUAAUGACGCAAAAUAAUACAUUAUUUUUUGUACUCUUCUUAUAGGCUCCUGUAUCUACUUGGUCUGCUUACGUAGCUGGAUAUCUCUACUAUGAUUUAUCGGAUAGACUUGUUUCAAACGGACGGUUAAUGGAGGUAAUUUGCAUUGUUUAUUUCACUUUAUUUAUUUUAUUUUGUUAACUGAGUAUUUUUAAUUGUUAAUUACUAGAUGUUGACAUGCUUUUAGGCUUAAAAGGAAUUCCUGCAUGAUGAUUUUGUUUUCAUCUCUGUAUCCUACAGGCUCUCUCAUAUGCAAAAGAAGCUCUCAACUUACGUGCUAAACUAUUUGGAGGGAAAUUCAUGUUCUCUUCUGAGCGACAGCCCAAAAAGUACAAUGAAACUGGAGGUAUCUGUCAGGAGUUAAAAUAUAGCAUUCAUGAUAUGCAUAUGCAAAGAUCAGUUGCUAGUGAAGUUUGGCUUUUUGAUACUAGUUCAUGUGACCUGGAAAGCUGUUAUCUGAGUCCAUGGAAUGCACUCCAAUGUUAUCUUGAAAGCACUUUGCAGGUUUUCUUCCUCUUUAAAUCAAUCAUUUUAUUAAUUAAAGUCUGGAACUUUCUUUUACAAAGAUUGGAUUUGAAUUUGGAUCUCCAAUAUAACCUGCAGGUUAUCCUCGAAAUCAUUGGUAAUGGAGCUGAGGCCGAAGGUUUUUUACAAUUUGGAAAAGCUUUUUCCUGCUCACAAAGCUUACCACUAUUUACAAUUGUUUUUUCUACUGUCUUGGGUAUAACUUCUCUUCAAUUGUUGUUCAAUGUCUAACAACUUUUUCUUCAUUUGCCACUAGGGAUGGCAAUGGUUCGGUUUGGGGACGGAAAUGCUAUAUCCAUCCCCAUAACCACGAAAAUUAACCAUAUCCAUAACCGCAAAUUAACCAUCGGGGAUUAUCCAUAACCAUAUUCACCGGAUAACGGGUUUUCAAUCGGUUAUUGGUUAUAUCCAUCUUUGUCAAAAAAAACAAAAACAAAUUAUAUUCAUCCAAUUGACGCAUUAUAAAUUUUAGUAGAUACUAAUUCCGUCAUUAAAUAGCAACAUCCAAUUACAAAAAACAUAACAAUAUAUUUGAAGUUGUUCAUGAUAACAUGCACCAAUUUCUUGACAGUAAGACUCUUGAAGAGAGACGAAUCUGAUAAACUUGUAACAUUUGAUAAUUGAUAUAUAAAAUGAUUCAAUGAAUUAAUUUGGUUGAGUAUAACAAUAAGAGUAUGGAAUUAAUAAGGUUGUUGGUAUGCCCCAUGCAUGAUGUUUGGUGCAUAAUAAUGAUAGUAUAGGGUUUGAUGCAUGCAUAAUGAAUUAGUAUAGGGAGGGUUCGAUAAAUUGAAUAAAAUUAUAUUAUAUAUCAAAUAUAUACAUAUAUAUAUAUAUAUAAUAUUUGGGUUGGAUUCGGGGACGGAUACGGAUUGGGGACCCUUAUAACCAUAUCCAAAACCAUAACCGAAUAAAGUUCACGGUUUUUCCCCAUAUCCAAACCAUACCCGAAUUUUCAUAUCCAAAUCCAAUCCAUUCGGGCGGUUAUCCACGGUUAUCGGGUUUAACGGUUAGAAUUGCCAUCCCUAUUUGCCGCUGGUUUCAAAAUAAAUAGAUUGUAAUACCUGGCUAAUUUACAGUUCAAUUUUGCGUGUCUUUAGGAAAGCAGUACCAUAAGCAGCAGCUUUGGGACUUGGCAGAAAUUGAACGUCAAAGUGCAAAGGAAUAUUUGGGGGACAGCAGCUCUGUUGUUUCUUGUUUGAAGUGCAGAUUGAUGCUGGAAGCAACAGUUAAUCAGAACCUUGGUGAUUUAUUCCAAAGCAUUUUUGAAAAUACAAGAAGUACAUCUUCAGAUAAGUUAUCUCAUGCUGAAAACCUGUAUAAAUCAGCCAUUGCCAAACUAAAUAUUUCUGAGUGGAAAAAUUCUGUUAGUUGUCCUGAAGAAGAGUGUGUUGAGUGGACAAUGCUUGGAAAAGCUAGUCUUAAAGACUUUGGAGUUUGCAAAACAGCAGGAAAUUAGGAAAACCACCAAGGAGGGCCUGAAAGGCAAGAUGGAUGCUAAAAAGUUUAAAAAGACUAAAAAUGCACCAAAAACCCGUGGUCAAGGAUCAAGUUUUAGGACCUGAGUGGAAUUUGAGGUCAACUCGGUCUAGAUAUCGAUCUUCUGAGAACCAAAGCAUAAGUGGUAAUGGCAUCACCCAACUUGGUCCGUCAAAGCAGUUGCAAGGAAAAAGUGAGUGUGGUUUUCCUGAUACUUUUAGUAAGAGGGACUUUCUAUUGGAUUUAAAAAGUUGCGAGGUUGUUUUUGGGUGUGAUGUAACAUUCAUUUGCAACAAAACGAGGUGUUGGCAUUGUCUUACUUUGGAAGUUAUGGAAUCUGGGUUAGUGAAAAAUGUAGUAGAUUUGAAGUGGGAGUUCGUCCGCAGGCGUUUAUCACGCAGGCUUCUCACAGGAUUAGGUAGGGGGCAGCUGUAUGUUAUGAUUUUUUACUUUCUCUAUCUGGAUGCAUGCAUGCGCGCAUACAGUUGAUGCAUUGUCUAUUGAAGGAAAAGGGAUGGACAGUGCUUAUUGUGUGCGUUUUGGGAACUAUAAAAGAUGCUUUGAGUUUGAGUUUUGUCUCUAACCUUUUCCUUGUUUUAAGACUCUUUAUGACCAUGUGGUUGUGGUGGUUUAUUUAGCUGAAUUUUCUGAAAUGAGAAAUUAAUUAUCAGUACCCUCUUAUUUUAUGUGCACUUAAUUUUUGAUUUUGAGAGGUUAGACAUCAGGGCCAUGGGAGAAACUAAAGUUAGAGACUUUUAAGAGUGUGGAUUCAUCUGCCUAAAAUUGUCUUAUCAUCUUUAUGGUUGUCAUUAAUAUUAACAAUUUUAUUAGCACUGUAGUUUUUUGCUUUGGAUUGCCAAACAUGUCAUGAUUCCAAACAUAGUUUUGUUUUUGCAAGUGAUGGCUAAAGCAUGAGAUCCAAUGUUCAUGGAACUUUGUUUUUGUGUUUUGCUUUAAUUUUUUUUAUUUUUAUUAUCCUAAAUAUUUUAUUGAUUAAAUUUAGCAUUUUUCAGGAAAAUGCUUGGAGAGUCGUGGUCAAUUCACGAGACACAUGAAAUUAUAGUGCAAACUAUAUCAAUCUUGGUCAGCCGAAACCCAUUUUUUCGUAUUACCUCAACUGUUCCGUUGACUUCCUUGCUUGAUUUAACGGGAAAGGAGAUCCCCCGGGAUGUGUUCUGUGUUGAACAUAAGUUGGCUGUCUUUGAAGAGUUACUGUUCUAAGGAAACCAGGUAAUCUUAAUAGUAGGUUCUUAUGUUUAUGCAUGCUUGUCGAAUAAAUGCCUUAAAUAAAGCAUCAGGGACAUCACCAGACACUUACUCAUCUUAUGGUUACAUGCAAUGGCAGCAAACAAUGUCGAAAGAGUUUAAAAUUUGAAAUGGUGUCACUCAGUAUAAAUAAAUAAAUCUGCUGGAAGUGCAGUGCCUUGACAUGCAAGAAAACCAUUUUGGAGACAAGUGAUGGAUAAUCUUAAGCAAAUUUUCAUCUCUCCCUCUCUAAAGUUCAAAAGGAGUUCAUAGUUUGGAAUGAUAAUCAGUUGUUGUAGGUUUGGAGCUAAAUAACCACAUUUCAGUUUUAUUAGUAGAAGAAAGGCAUUUUAGGAACACAAAAGCAAUUUUUCUAAAAAAGUAGUAGAAAAUCCCGAGUUGCUAUAAUAAACAAAUUUGUUUAUUAUAGGUUAUAAAACUUCAACUAAAGAAUCAUACUCCAUGUGUUUUCAUCUUAUUGUUUGUAGUGUUUUCAGUGAUGUAUCAUACUCCAUGUGUUUGUGAGUUGUUAAUGUACUUUAUUGUGAUGUUAAGUGCAUAUGUCACACUAUGCUAGUAAGGAGUAAAUCCUGAGCCAUUGUCUUUAUGGAGUCCUAAAAUCUUCACAAGCUUUAAUUCCACCUAGGCUCAGACUUUCGUAAUCAUCCAUACCACAACCCACUCGGCAAGCCCCAUUAUGUGGCUUAGGCCUAUUUUAGUGUCGGAUGUUUGGCAUAAUUCGAAUUAAAAUGUUGAUAUAUUAAUAUUACAAUUGUUUUGAUAUGACUUGGCAUAAUGAAUGAAUAGGUGUGCUGCAUGGGCUUAGCGUGAUUUUUCGAAUGUCCGAAUUAUCAUCUCUAUUGUCGUGGCAUGAUUGUGAAUUUGCAUACCCAUCUUUUUGCACUCUAUGCAAAAAUUUAAGCUUUGUGACGAAUAUAUAAUGAUUAUGCUUCCAAAUAUAAUUGCGCUUCUUAGUAAAUUUUGGGCCCUAAUAAGAUGUAAAAAAAUUAAAAGAAGGAAGCGGCAUUUAAUGAAGAAAAGUGACUGGAGAAUUGAAAAUUCCAGGGUCAGCAGAUUAUUUAUUGUUGUCAUAUGUCAAAAGUUAAUGUUCUAGACUUUUCAGGUAGCUUGACAAGCGAAAAAGAAAGAAGAGUCAGUUUUGACAAAUAUCUAGGUUUCUAGUCUCAAGACUUGUUCUCCAAAAACUUGCACCUAAGUUUCAGGAUUAUUGGUCUUGGGACCAUUCUGCUAGAAACAUUUAUUCCGUAUUUUUUGAUAUUUUUGGAAGUCUUUAUAAUUUUAAUUACUUCCUAUUUUAUUUUCCUUUUGUAGCUAGUGUUUGCUAAUAAGACUAUAUAAACAACUUUUAGGGUUCAAUUUCAACAAUCUAUUCAUUUUAUUGUUAAUUCAACUUUAGAAUUUUCUCUAUUUUUUGGUAGAUUUCAGAUUGCAAGUGGACUUCAGCUUAUGAUCUAGGAUUUGACGAUGAUUGAUCCUAGCUAUUCCGUUUCUCGUUGCAUUAGUUAUCAACUCUCUGAUUAUCUAAUGACCCAUUUUCAUUUACUUAAUACCAAGACCAAAACCUAUUUAUGAAUAAUACUUGCAUUCCCCAUUAGGGAAAUGCACAAAACUCACCAUUGCGAAUAACAUAAUUUCACUGUAUACAUUUUUAAUCAAAACAGUUCAAACUUAAUUUUCAUUUGAAAAUCAUCCUUACCAAAAAUCAAUAAAAUGAGAGAUCGUUUUGGUGGUUUCGAUAUGUUUACUGUACCAAAAAUCUCAUACUAAUUACCAUACCAAACUUUUCGUGUAUCAAAAUUUGGCAUACCAAAUGAAUUGAUUGGCGUGGUUCAAACUAUUUUAUUUAAGCGCGAAUCUUUUUUUUCUUUUCUUAAAGUACAAUUAACUGAUUAUUUUUUAGGCCAAAUCUGAUGGUUGGAUUUGACUCUGUUGCAAAAACAGAAAUAGAAAUGCAUAUGUUGAAAAAGAAUCAAUUUUGCAUGUUAUGAAUUUCUAGCCAAUAUAGGUUUUGCUCAAGUGCUCUUUGGAAUGAGGUUAUAAUACUUCUUAAGAUUCCGGGGAUAUACGUAGUCAAGUGGAUGACAAAUUAUUGUGUUUUUGUUUUCUUAAAACACAAUCUUAGCUUUACACAACACAUUUUUAUACUAAAAAAAAUACGAGUUGAUAUUAUUAUACCUGAAAACAAAAAUUAAAAUACAUUCUUAUACUAAAAAAAAAUACGUUGUAAAAUUAAAAUGAAUUACAUGCCACAGAUUUAACUAAUCACAAACUUCAUCCCUGAGGAGAAUAGUAUUGCUUAAUGGUGUAUGCAGUCUGCACUAAGGUGAGAAUCAGAAGGAUACUUGCUACAGUCCAGGAGGUGGCUUUCCAUGGAUCUGACCAAUAGUUACGCUUGAAUAUUUCUCGCCACCUCCUCAAUGCAGUUUGGUAUUCCUUCACUCGAGUACAGAGUCCACCAUAGUAGAAAUAAGUAAGCACCGUGUCGCAGUAAAGCUUGCUGAAGAACUCAGAACCAGUUUCAGCGCUCAGCCAGUUACCUAUAAUUUCCUUGUCGCAGAGAAAUUUUUAUAUCGUUGCUAGAGCCGAGGAGGUUAUCCAUCAGAACGGCAUAAGAUGUGAUUUUAUGCGAACGACCAUAACAGCAUUGCUCCAAGGCGAUCAGGUUCCUGAAUAUCGAUUCAGUUAACUCUCCAAUUUCUAGAUGUGGAAUCAUAAUAACCCCAUUCUCGCAUUCGAUGUUCAUUAUGCUUUUACAUUCAUCGGAGCUCAUUUUGAAUCUAAUGCCGGCCUCAGAAAGAGCAGUUGCUGAAGCUAUCAGUUGUAUCUUUGCAUCGAAGGGAGGUUUCUCAUAGCGUUCGGUGAAUGAGAAAACUAUGGAAGUUCUUAUGAGAUCGAGAAUGUGGAGCACACUUUCGUCCUCUUUGUAACUAUUUCCUCUUAGAUGAUCCAGAUACCACCGGCAGUUAUGGGACAGUUGUGGUUGUGAGCUGAGCGCGGUGAGGAUGAGUUCCGAGAGGCAGCGCUCAUGGUUCUGGUAAUACUUCACGGUGAGCUCAUACAUGGACUGGAGGACAAACCAAGGAAUCUGAUUUUCUAAGAGCAAAAGGUCAUGGCAUAUGUACUGGAACAUGCAAUCCAUGUUGAAUAAAGGGUCAUUAAUGUCCCUCUGUUCCUUAUUCACAAACUUCCUAAAUAUUUGUACUAGGAAGCAACCAUCAAGUAUCAUCAUGUGGAGAAACUCCAUUUUCAUCAGAGGAUCAAACGGAUGCGCAUAAAAAUCACGAGCUUUUUUCUCAAACUCAGCCAUGGCUUGUACUUUCUUGUGAUCUAAAAUGUAAUUGAUGAGUUUAUUGAUCGAUGCUUCUAACUCCAUAUCCCUGUCGUGUGACCGAUCCAUGUGUAAGAGAAGGUCGCGCAAAUACUCGUAUUUCAGAUUUUUCCAUAGCUUGAAAUUGUACAUUGUCUCGUGGAUGAUAAAGCCCGAUUGAGAUAAUGUCAGGUGCGUAUGCCAGUACGUUAUGUCUGCGGAGAACUUCAGGAACUCUGAAGAUGCACCUGGGAAGCUUUGGCGUCGAGGUGUUCUUUUGACGCUUCAAGUAAAAUGUCUAUGUCCAUAGCGAUUACUUAUGAUUCCAAUCCAAUUGAGCAACCAAAAAACGCAAAGUACUCUUUUAGCCGGGAAAGCCCCAACAAAGCACCACAACUGACAGCAAAACGAAAUCUACAAAACUGUAAACCUGGAAAUUCCCAAAUGUCCAUGCUUAAACAUCAAGUUAAUAAUUAACAAUCUACUAACAUUGAUUAAUUAGCAUUCAAGAACUCCUCCCAGAUGAAAAUACAAACGACAAUUGGGAUUGCCCAGAUGAGGAAGUUAUCAAAGAACAGUAACCCAGAAAUUAAAAUUGGAAAAAGCUGAAAACUUUGUAAGAUUUGAUCGAGACAGAGUGAUCAGAGUUCAUACCAUUUCCAAGAGAGAAAAAAAAUAGAAGUCACAGCUGCUGCAACUAUUUUCUCUGAGUUCGUCGAGUUUCUGGGAAAUUUAUACUCUUUUAGCCUGGAAAGCCCCAACAAAGCGCCACAACUGACAGCAAAACGAAAUCGUUAGGGUUUCAUCCAAAUUAGCAAAAAUUCAAAAUAAAACUGAAAUAAAAUCAUUAUAAAACACACCUUAGCUAAAUAAGAUCGAUUCCACAGUGAUCUGAAGAUAGGCCGCGCCCAAAGGGGUGGAAAUCGGCCAAAAUUCCGGCCACAACCCGGAAAUCCCAGAUGGAAAAAAGCACAAACACUGCGAAUAGAUUCGCAGGAUUGAGAAAAUUUGCAAACGGACGUUGAUAACGGAGACCAGAAAUAUGCAAAGGCUGGAGAAGGAAAAAAGGGAGUGCGAGAGAGAGAGAAGAGAGAUGGAAAACAGGAAUGAUGAUCGACGGGUUGAGACGAUGGGCAAAAUCGCCAUUUUUCUGUGCAAAAGUGGGGAAAAAAUAACACUGAGAGGAUCUUUUUUUCGGUGAAAGCACCAUUCUUUGGUGAACUUGGCAUCCACUUUCGGCUAAGAAAGAAAAGGGGAGACAAAGGGAACAAUCCUUGUUUUUCUUUUGACUUCUGUAAAUGGAAAAAGGCUAUGUUUUCGGUGAAAGCACCAUUCUUUGGUGAAAAGAAUAGUGUGGUCUUUUGUUUUCUAAGAGUUGAGAGCACAGAGGGUGCACCAGAAAAACAGAGAAGGAGAGGAUGAGGAAGAUGAUGAGGAUGAGGAUGAAUGAGGGUGAGGGUGAGGGUGAGGGUAGUGAACGGAUCAGCCUUUUCGACAGGCCUCAAAACGAAAUAAUGAAGCUCAUUUUUGCAGUUAAUUACCUUGUUCCUGAUGAGGGCCAUGCCAGCUUUGAUGUUCAUGCUAUUUUCUCGACUAGUCAGAAAAUCAUUAAGGAUUCGGCCAACAUCAUUCACAAUAUUAUUGAGCAGGUAUUUAUACUGCUGCAUCUUUCUAUCUGCUCUUAAUAACUUUAAGCAGAAAGAAAAUAGUGCUCAUUUAGUGUUUUUUUUUUUUAUAAUAGUGGGCACUCGACAACUCUAAACUGUUCGUGAUUUUUUUCUUCUUUUCAUAUUUUUUCCUUGCGACUGUUUUUUGUUUCUUCCCGUUCUGAGUGUUAUGUUAUGAGAAUUACACUAUGGACAAACUUCUAAUUGCAAACUUGAAACUUGACUCGAUUUAUUGAUCAGCAGUACCCAAAAAUAGCCUAAAUGUUACAUCAAUAGGAAAAGGAUCAUGCGAGGAUCCUUUUCCUAGGGAUCUUAGCGAUCCCGCAAUCAUGUCCGUACGAUGAACAAUAACAUUGUGCGGUCAAUUUUCGUUAGGUAAUAUUUAUAUUUGCAUUUUAAAUUUUAAAUAAUUUCUGACUGCACAAUGUACGAUAAACGAACACGAUUGUGGGAUCCUUAGGAUCCAUAGGAAAAGGAUCCGGCAAGGAUCCUUUUCCUCGUCAAUAUAGGAUAGCUUGAUUUGUGAAAAAAAAAACUCAGAUUAAAUGUUUAAAGAAAUGCACUUCAGUAAUGUCUUAGUGUUUAAGAAUAAUUAGAUAUUAGUUGAAACACCCAAAGAUGAUUACCACUUUUGCAUGUCUUGUCGCAGGGCAGCGGAUUUAAUGAUGUUGAAACACCCAAAGCCAGCUCCAGCUUGUGCACUCUUGUUAACUCCUUUGGCUGCAAGGUCAUCGUAUUAACUGAAUACUAUUUUUCUUUUUGUUCUUAAUUUGGUAAUCCUUUUAGUAAUUACUGGUGAAAAUGAGAAUGCUGUUUAAUUUUUGUUUAAGAAAUUAUAUUGUCAUUGUCAAAUAUAUUUGAUUGAAGUUUGAUGUUAAAUUAAUAAGAUUUUUUUAGUUUCCUUUUUAGCACUUUUAAUCGUAUCUUCAUUGAUGCAUCUUCCAAUGAAAAAGUGUUAAUUUUAUCCAAAGAUGAAAACCCUAUUGUCCCGUUUUAUGUUGUUAACAACACUAUGAUGCAAUUUCAGACGUCGUGUAAGAGUCCAGGUGAUGAAACUGCCUUUGAAUCACGUACGGAAGAAAUACUUACAAGACUAUCAAGUUAUCCAUGUGAAGUACAGGUAGUAUUGGCCCUGGCGAUUUUUGCUUUGGAAUAUGAAGAAUGUUCCAGCCAACUUUCCAAGAAAUCGACAACGCUGAAACGCCAAGAUGCAGUAGUCGAGCUUAACAAUCUGGUCAACCAAGCGUUACAAGUGAUUGAGCACAUCCUUGAGUUGGAGAAACUAAUUUCUGGUGAUCGAGACAGUGAACCAAAAUUGGCGAGGGUAAUUAUGGAUACCCCAUUUAAUGCCUUCUGGUCAAUCAUAACUCUUGUAGCUUGCACAACUGAGCUCUCACUUCUUACCGGUGACGAGUAAGUUCUUGUACUAAUUUUUCUAUUAAGAUUUGAUAAAAGAAAAACAAAAACAUUUCUUCUUGCCAACUACGUAUACGGGUUUUAUGUGUGUGUGUGUGUAAAACUAAAAGGGUUCUUUUUGUUAAAAUCUAUAUUUGACAGUGUUUUUGUGAUGUAAUUUCUAAGAACAAGGAAUGAAGAACAACACAGAGAAUUUCAGAGAGAAUUGUAGGAGCUAAUCGUAGCUGCACUGCAAGAUAUUUUCAUUGAUUCAAACAUUGGUUGUUUGUACAAUCUUAUCUCUUCUUCUCUUCACUACAAAACAAAGACAACUAGCUAAAAGCAAUUUAAGCCCUUCAAUUAGGAAACUAAUAUGGUGCAUACAAUUGUCCUAUGAGACUAAGUCCACACCUUACCCACUAACAUAAAUUAAAACUAGCCACCCCCCAAAUUUAAAACUGGCAGAUUUCUUACAAUCCAAACUUUCGGGGACAUUAAGUCAAAUUUGCUAUAAUCCAAAUUUAAAACUGGAUUUCUUGCAGUUAAAACAUCUUGAAGGUUUGGUAUAUUAUAAAUUUGCUAAUUAUAUCUGACUAUCAUUUGAUUUGCUCUUAAAUUAUUUCAGGGACAUUAAGUCAUAUGAUCUAUCCCCUUUUUCUCAAAAAAUGGGCUUCAUCCUCAACAAGCUUGAUGGACAGCUUACAAUCUGCCAACAAGAAAAAAGGUCGGUUGUGGAUGCAUGAUAUGACUCCCGAGGGACAUUAUAUAUUGCAUUUGCCAUUAGUCCAAUAUUGUUGAAUCUAUUUUAUUUUUUCUAAUUAAUACAGAGGAGGCAAAGGCCAAGGAAAAGUUUUGGGAACUUAUACGCACUGCCCCUCCUGAAAUUACCGAGGUUUUCCAAAGGCUGGUUCUUUUCAAGCAUAAAGCGUAUCCGCAGCCUCCCAUCAUCAGUGUUAAUCCCACUAGCAAGGAGGUUUGGUCCCCUAGCACAUUGAUUUUCUUCGUAUCUGUAUUACUACUCAGCAACUUAUUUAAUUGUAGUUAUCUUCCUUAUUUUUUGGGUAAUCUGGGGAGGGGGGCGAACACCAAAAACACCUUGUUUGAUAUCCUAUUUGAAAUUUUUUAUAAUUUCUCAAAACAUUUCUUAAGAACUUUUCUUGAAAACAAUUUUCUUUAAGACUCAAAAAUGGUAUCCUAUUUUAGUUGUUGUUUUUUAACCUGUGUUUUUAAGACUCAAAAAUUCUUCUCUCUGUGAAUAAGCAGUCUCCAGCACCACCGUUCAAAUCACAUCUGAGACUCCAACAAACACACAAACCUCAUACCAAAAACACAGGUUCAACCUUGCAGCUCCAACACCGAUUUCUACCCUCUCAUCUUUCUUCACGGUCUCCCCUCUCCCUAUAGUUUCUCACUACCCAGUACCCGUUUCUUUAAUUUUGCAUCAGAAAUUAAGGAAAAUAAGGAAAGAUAAAUCGUAUUUAUUAAAUAAAAAACGAUACAUCCAAAUGAAAAUUUAAAUCACUCUGGACUUCAGCUCGAAAUAAUCACCCGGGAUUGAAUCCAAAAUACCAACAAUCAUAUUUAUCCUUCCGCCGUCAAGCUCCGCACCAGAAAGACAUCGUUUCCUCCAUAAGAUCCAAAAGAGAGACCAUACGACGGAAACUACGGAGAUGAGGAAAAACUUAAUGUAUCUGUCAGUGUACUCUUCCCACAAAAUCUGAUGGAAGCAACGAGCGAAGCAGAGCACAAACGACAGAAUUGAAAGACGUUCAAGAAGUUGAAGUUAUCAGAUGCAGUGACAGUGCGAGACAAAGUCUACCUAGGACAUUGAUUUUUUUUCAUAUAUGUAAUACUACUCAGAAACUUAUUUAAUUGUAGUUAUCUUCUUUUAUCUAUUUUUCACGUACAGGUUUUUAACAUCGAUGCGCUAAAGGGGGAAGUGUGUGUUUUAUUUUACAUUUCAAGCCUGGACAAUGUUUCUGAUCAAGAUAUUUUAUGUCUCAAAGAAGUGUAUGAGGGAAUCGAUAGGCAUAACAAGCGUGCGAUUGUGUGGAUCCCUGUUGUUGAGGACUGGACCGAAGGAGGAGAAGAGCAGUUUAAGGAAUGGAGGUCUAAGAUGCCAUGGUACGCGGUGCAAUAUUUUUUUUGCCCCCCGGCCAUUGGGUACCUUGAGCAGCGGUGGAACUUCAAAGGUAAUCCUAUGGUGGUCGUGAUGAACCAGACCGGAAUUGUGGUAAACACCACCAUAAUCGACUUGAUUCGGACACAAGCAACGAAGGCAAUCGCUUUGCUUAACCUUGAGCGGCGGGUGCACAUCAGAAGGUAAUCCUCACGAAGAGGACCCGUCGUGGAUCCUCCUGGCCAGUGGACCAUUUAAUUCAAGGUCAAUAGAAAGAGCACAUAAAAUUAUGUUGGCAAUGCUAAAUCUAAUGAUUUUGUUUCUCCUUUUUAUAAUUAUUUAAGCAGGUGGUGCCCUGUUUGUACCGACUGCUUGAAGCCGUGGAGGAGUUGAAGAGUUAACUUGUCCUCAGCAAUCGACGCCUGUCCUUCUUGAUGGUUCUAACAAGCAGGUUUGCUCUCAUUCUAUAUUAAUAGUCAAGCUACGAUUUGGCAUUAAAAAUUAUCAAAUUAUCCGGCAGGUUGGAUUUGGCGUUAAAAGUUAAGGAAUCUCGUCAAAAUUUAUUCAUUAACUGUGCUGGAAUUUUUUUCAAACAGGUUAAUAUCGACAAUGAGCUGAAGUGGAAGCAUCUGUUUUUGUUACUCUCGACGUAGGCAUUGAAGAUUGUUACAUUUCAUAUCUCAAGCCAGUUUAUGAGGGAAUAAGAAGAUACGAUGGGUAUCGGAUUGNCCCCCGCCCCCGCGACGAACCCACCCUCCCCCCCCCCCGCGACGACCCACUUCCCUUCCGCACCCAUGGAAGCCCAGCUCCGGUCCCCCCCUCUCUCUCUCUCUCUGACACAAAAAAAAUCUCCGGUCCCCCCUCUCUCUCUCUCUCUGACACAAAAAAAAAUAAAAAAUUGCAAAGCCCUCGGGCCACAGGCCCGUCGACUCCCCACCCCCCUUCGCUCGGGCUCCCACCGUCGCUCGGGCUCCACACGGCUGGAGCUCAGUCCACAUGGCCUCGGGCCCUUUCCUCUCCACUGUCCCCCGAGCAACCAGCAAGGCUGGAGUUGCUCUAAAAGUGAAUGUCAUGGAUAAUUUUGAUGACCAAAGCAAUAGUUAAAGAACCAAACUGAUGAGUUGUCAAAUAACUGGUUUGUUCACCUUUUGCAUUUCAACUUAAUCAUCCAUUUUACGUAAAAACCCACAGAGACUAGUAAACCUAAAGGGGUAAUUACACAAAACACCCAUUGAAGAUUUCUAUGUUUUCACAAAACUCGCUCAGAUUUAUAAACUUACAUUAAUACCCCCUAAGAUUUUUAAUUCAUUUUCACGUAAACCCUUCAAGGACAAGUUUACCCUCAUUGCUAAUUAAUUAAAAAAAAAUUAAUAGAAAAAAUCAAAUUUGUUACAGUCUUAUUAGAUUAGAAAAAGUCAAACAUGUUGACUAAAUAGAAACCAUGUUGGAUAGUGGCCAACUUGGCAUCCACUUUCGGCUAAGAGCAAUUCCACCCUUAAAAAAAUGCGCCAGCACCCAGCCCAUUUAAUCCACUUACUGAACAGUGAUAGACCAUAAUGAACAAUAAUAGACCAAAUGCAUCUCCACUCCUAAAACUAAAUAGCCUAAUCAAUUUUAUAUUAAAAUUUUAUUAAUUUUUAUUAUAAAAUAAUAAAAAUUAAUCACUCUCUCCCUCACAAUCUUCAACCUCACCUCAAUCCCUCUCUGACUCACCCGAUUCCCACAAUCCAAUCCACACCCACAUCUUCCUGCAUCUCAUUUCACAGCUAUACUCCACAAUUGCAGUCGUAGUGGGACGAAAUCUUGACGUCUCUACAUCUCCACAUCUUCCUCGCUUUGCCCCUCCCAUUUGCUUCAUCUUCCUUGCUUCACCCAUCCCACUAAGCUCAUUUUCAGUUUUUUCGCCGUUGGGAGAAUACCCAAAUACCACAGCCCAAUUGAAAAUCGGCCGGCGAGAUCUUCGAAUUGGGGUGGAAGGAAAGCAGAGAGCUUCAAAUUCAGCUCAAGGAGGAGUGGCGGUAUCGCCUGGGGUCAUGUAGGCCGGGCAAGGUGUCACGCCCUAAAAUUUUUAUUUUAUUUUAUUUUUUUUUUUGGAGCAUGAAUAACAAGGGUAACUUAAAGGUAGUAACAGGUGUCUGUGUUGAACUAAAACAUUUCAUUAAACAAAAUAAUUUACAUUGUCAUUACACGUAAGAGAAAACGACAACAACUCCAUAACAAGUUUAAACUAUUUAUAAGCAGUCUCUUUCUUCCGAGUCAGCCACUAGAUUCCUGUCUAUUCUCCUGUAACACAACUAAUAAGGGGUGAGCUAAAAGCUCAGUAGGGGCCCAAGGUCUCACGUGAUUAAUAUUAUGAAUGUUAUGAAUAUUUUAUGAAUAAUGUAAUGCAAGAACAAUACUUCUUUUCUACCCAACCCGUUAACCUAUAUAUUGAAGCAACCAGACAUGCAUGUCCCAUACCAUGCAUUUUACCACUGUGGCCCCGAGUGCUUUAAUAUAUAGAAUAACCCCCAUCAACUCACCCAAGUUCAUAAUCCCUUUUGCUAGUCAUCUUAUCUGAUUCAUUGAUCUCCAGCCCAAAUCACCCACAUCGACAAUUUCCGUCGAUAUCCUAUUCUAUUGUGCACAUCGGGCUCGCCUGGAACUGGUUUCACAAUGAGCAGACUCAACUACACAAAAGCUAAUUUCCACCUUUUCCCACAACACAAGUAACUCAUUUACUUCUUUGACAAAUGAUAAUGAUCAUGCCAAUAUAUAAUAUACCACAUAACAAUCAUAUCUAAGUCAAUAGUUGAAUACAUCUCAAGUCCACAUAACAAUAUUUCCCGUAAUACAAGUAACAAAUGCAAUCAAUUAAUUCCCCAAAUUCCCCUACCUUGAAUCCUCUCUUCUUACUCCACGAGUACUUCUUUUGCUUAUCUCCUUUUAACACUCUCUUACACACUUUCUACAUACGGGGCGUAUUGCACUUUGCAAGAGGAAAAAUCUAACACAUAUGGAGCAUUGCUCCUAUUUAUACCAUAAAUAAGGCGGCAAAGUGGUUCUCAUUGGUUAUCAGUUUCAACAUCAAAAUGCUACUCCACCAUUCCACGUUAGCUAUAGGCUUGCUUAAUCACCAACCUAGGCUUCAAUAGUCAUCACCCUAAGGUGCUUACUAAGCACCCUAAAAAGCCCUACAUGAUAACACCUCAACUACAUUCUUUUCACCAACAAGUUAAUCUAAUGUCCUUGGGUCGGCAUAUGGAGUGAACUACGUGGCAAACUUUGCCACUCCAAGAAAGCCAUUUGACCUCACUUUCCUAGUCCAAAAGAGUUAAUAACCAUUUUAUAAGGUUCGUAGUAAAUUAAUUUCAACCCAAACUUAACUAACCUAAGUUAAAUAAAAGAUGUCCCCCUUUAAGCAAGAUUAAAUAAAAAAGAGAAGUCUAAAAGUUUAAUCAAAAUGAGCACGUAGGAAAAAAAGGUGUAUAAAAUUAAGAAAUUAUGGGACUCCACAAUCUACCCUCCUUAAAUAAUUUCGUCCUCGAAAUUUAAAACAUACCGGUGACGAAAAAUAAUUCUGGGUACUUUUCUCUCAUUUCAGCUUCUAAUUCCCAUGUAGCUUCCUCUACAUUCCCAUGUAGCCAGAGAACUUUGACUAACGAAAUAGUCUUUGUACGUAACCUUUGAUCCUUAUGGUCUAAUAUCUGUAUCGGUCUCUCUUCGAAUGAUAAUUUUCUCAUCGACGCUCAGUUCUCCCCAAUUUAGAACAUGUGUUGGAUCCGGCUGAUACUUCCGAAGCAUUGAGACAUGAAACACGUUAUGUACAUUCGAAAGUUGGGGUGGUAAUGCUAACUUGUAAGCCACCUCUCCAAUUCGUUCUAAUAUUUCAAAAGGUCCAAUAAAUCUUGGAGCUAAUUUUCCAAAUUUUCCAAAUCUUUUAACUCCUUUUCUUGGUGAAACCUUAAGAAAGACAUGAUCGCCAAUGUUAAACUGUAAUGGCCUUCUCCUUUUUAUCAGCGUAAUUCUUUUGUCGACUUUGAGCAGUAAGCAAGCGUUGUUUAAUAACCUUGAUCUUCUCUGUAGUUUCUUGUAUUAUCUCUGGUCCUAGUAAAACAUUUUCACCUACUUCCGCCCAACACAAAGGGGAUCGGCAUGGUCUUCCAUAAAGUGCUUCAUAGGGUGCCAUCCCUAUACUUGAUUGAAAACUAUUGUUGUAAGCAAAUUCUGCUAAAGAAAGAUGAUCUUCCCAGCUUCCAUGAAAAUCCAAGACACAAGCUCGUAGCAUAUCUUCUAAAAUUUGAAUAGUUCUCUCUGAUUGACCAUCAGUUUGGGGAUGAAAUGCACUACUAAAAUUCAAUUGAGUCCCUAAAGCUCGUUGCAAACUAUCCCAAAACUGAGAAGUAAAUUUCGAAUCUCUAUCCGAAACAAUUGACAAUGGAAUUCCAUGUAAUUUAACUAUCUCUUGAAUAUAAAUCUUGCCAAGGAUUUCUGUGGAAUCCGUCGUUUUCACUGGUAUGAAAUGCGCAGAUUUAGUCAAACGAUCUACAAUGACCCAAACAGCAUCUUUCUUUUUAGGUGAAUGUGGUAAACCCGUAACGAAAUCCAUAGUUAUAUGAUGAUCCCACUUCCAUUCUGCAACAGGUAAAGGUUGAAGAGAGCCAGCUGGUUUUUUGAUGUUCAGCCUUUACUUGCUGACAAGUCAAACACUUGGAUACAAAUACUGCUAUAGCUUUCUUCAUACCAUUCCACCAAAACUGACGAUGCAAAUCGUGAUACAUUUUUGUACUGCCUGGAUGAAUAGUGUAUGACGAGUAGUGUGCUUCAUGAAGAAUGUCAUCCCGCAAUUCUUGGACAUCUGGUACAUAUAAUCUGCCUAAGUAUUUUAGACUAUCAUCCUCAUGAAGAGUCCAUCCUUCAGGCUUAUCUCCAGCUAAAAUUUUCUCUCGAAUUGACUUAGAAAAAACAUCAUCUUGUUUUUUUUCGACUACUUUUCCCAACAAAGUAGGUCUUGUAACCAAAUUAUAAAGACAUGCCUUAUUUUCAUGUAUGUUCACAUGUAAUUCGUAGUCCAAAAUAAACUCAAUUAGUUUCCACUUUUGGAUAUGUAACCAUGCUAUAUAUCCAUGCGAUUUUCUACUUAAGGCAUCCGCUACGACAUUGGCUUUCCCAGGGUGAUAGUGUAAACCAAAGUCAAAAUCUUCUAAAUAUUCCAUCCAACGUCGUUGUCUUAAAUUGAGCUCUUUCUGAGUAAAAAGAUAUUUCAAACUUUUAUGAUCUGAGUAAAGCUCAAAUCGCUCACCAUAUAGGUAAUGUCUCCAGGUCUUCAAAGCAUGCACAAUUGCAGCUAACUCUAAGUCAUGUGUUGGAUAAUUCCUUUCAUGUGUUUUCAAUUGGCGAGAAGCAUAAGCUACUACUCUAUCAGAUUGCAUCAAAACACAUCCCAGUCCUCGUAAAGAUGCAUCAGUAUAAACUACAUAAUUUACGCCUCUUUCAGGAAUAAUUAAUAUUGGCGCUGUCGUCAAGCGAGUCUUUAAUGCUUGAAAUGACUCUUCACAGUCCUUAUUCCAUACAAACUUCAUUCCUUUUUGUGUCAACUUGGUCAUUGGUGUAGCUAUUCGAGAAAAAUCCUUUAUAAACCUUCUGUAAUAUCCAGCCAAUCUAAGAAAACUCUGUAUUUCCGAUACAUUCUUUGGUUGGUUCCAAUUCAAUACUGCUUCCACCUUAGAAGAAUCGACUGCAAUGCCCUCACUGGAAAUUAUAUGUCCUAAAAACUUUACUUCUGACAUCCAAAAUUCACAUUUACUCAACUUGGCAUACAAUUUAUUUUCUCUUAAAGUUUGUAGAACGGUUCGUAAAUGAUCCUCAUGCUCCUCUUUGGUUCUAGAAUAAACCAAAAUGUCAUCAAUGAAUACGAUCACAAAUUGAUCCAAGCAAUGUUGAAAGAUUCGAUUCAUCAUAUCCAUAAAUGCUGCUGCUGGUGCAUUUGUCAAUCUGAAAGGCAUAACAAGAAAUUCAUAAUGCCCAUAACGAGUCCUGAAGGCUGUUUUAGGAAUAUCUUCUGUUUUGACUCGAAGUUGAUGAUAACCUGAUCGGAGAUCAAUCUUUGAAAAAUAUUGUGCACCUUUCAGCUGAUCAAAUAAAUCAUCAAUCCUAGGUAGAGGGUACUUAUUCUUUAUAGUGAUUCUAUUUAACAACCGAUAAUCGAUGCACAAUCUAAGGGUUGCAUCACUUUUCCUCACAAAUAAUGCAGGAGCACCCCAAGGUGAAACACUGGGCCGAAUGAAUCCUUUCUCUUGAAGUUCUUGAAGUUGCUUUUUGAGUUCUUUCAGUUCUGCUGGUGCCAUUCGAUGAGGAGGUAUAGAAAUAGGCUUUGAAUCUGGGUGUAAUUCUAUCACAAACUCCACUUCACGCUUUGGUGGCAAUCCAGAUAACUCUUCGGGGAACACAUCAAUGAAUUCCUUUAUGAUAGGAAUUAAUUCUUCUUGUGACCCACUAAUUUCUUCGGUUAUAAUGUUGGCUAACAAGCCCAAAUAAUCAAGUUUUCUUUUAUGCACUUUGUGAGGCUGCUUAUCCCCAUAGAAACUGAAAGUUUUCCCCUCAGGAGGAUUUAUUGUAAUUUUCUUCGUACUGUAAUCAAUUAUAACCUCAUAUUUUUUAAGCCAAUCCACUCCUAAGAUAAUAUCAUACUCCAACAUGUCUAAUAUCUUCAAAUCAAAAGGAAUUCUAUAGUUUGACAUUUCUAUCUCGCAAGAUUUACACACUUUAGCAACCUCUUUGCUCCCACACAAAGGAGACCCAACUAACAAAGAAAAUUCCAUGUUUUGAGUUUCUAACCCAAGAGUAGAUGCAAAACAUUUUGAUAUAAACGAGUGUGUAGCACCACCAUCAAAUAAUACUCUAGCUGAAGAGUUGAAAACUAGAAACGUACCUUCCACUAGUUCAUGCUCAGCUUGACUUGUCACAUUUCCUAUAGUAUAAACUCGUCCCUGUGUGAGUUGUCCAGAUUUCUUAUUUGGAGGAGCUCUUGGUCUGGCUUGUGAAAAUUGCCCUUCUAGACGUUGUGACUGUUGAAUAACUUGUGGUCUUGGCCAAUUUCCUUGAGUUUGAUAAGGGACAUAGUUUUGAGGUGGUGGUGCACGAAAUUGUGUUUGUGGAGUAUAAAAUUGUACUUGGGGGGCACGAUAUUGCACUUGAGGUCCUUGAUUCCUUUGUUGUCGUGGACAAUUUUUCUUAAUAUGUCCGAUUUGCUGACAGUGAUAACAUUUUUGCGGUUCUUGGCUUCCCAGUGGUUGAUACGGAAAAGGAUUAAAUCUUGUCCGCUUAUUGGUAUGUUCACUGCUAAAGUCCUUAUGAUCCGAAAUUCUCUUAUUUUCAGACCGUUCCGCUAUGUACGCUCUUUCCUUUACAUCAGCAUACCUGCUUAACUUUAGAAUUUCCACCUUUUCCAAGAUUGAUUGUCUCAACCCUUCUUCAAAUUUCCUUGCUUUUGCGGUAUCGUCGGGAAUCAUAUAAGGUGCAAAACGCAUAAGCUCUUCAAAUUUAGCCUCAUAUUCAACAAUAGUUAAUUCUCCUUGUACGAGAUUAACAAACUCUCUUGCUUUCAUACUCCUCAAAGUACUUGGGAAAUACUUUUCUAAGAAGAUAGUCUCAAAUUCUUCCCAAGUUGUAACUUGUGUAUCUGGAAUACUUAAAAUUGACUCCCACCAAUGGUAUGCUUGUCCUUCUAAAUAAGUACAAGCAACAAUCACUCGAACGUCUUCUGGAAUCUUUUGGUUAUCCAUUUUUCUCUUCAUCUGCCUCAACCAUUCUUCAGCGGCUAUAGGAUUUGGCUCACCACUAAAUAUAGUUGGUUUUGUCUUGCGGAAUUCUCCUUGUAUUCUCAUAACUCGAUUUUCUUCAGUUUCAUGAUAUUGGUUAUGGUUAUUACUUUCUCUAAUUGCUGUGGCCAUAUCCUGAAUAGCUAAAAUUACUUCGACAUUUCCGUUGAACUCAUUUUGAUUGUUUGCCAUCUCGAAUCCAACAAAGAAAUUAUGUCAAAAUAAAAGAAAGAAAGAAAUCAUAAUAAUAUAAAGUAUAUGGUAAUACCAAGACAAUUAAGAAAACAUAUAUUUACUAACAUUUAUACGAUUUUACAGCAAAAAGUUGUUCAAACUAUUUUAACUAACUUACCCUAUGCUACAACAAAAGGUCUUAUGCUCUACUUCCCACUGCCUUACUAUUUUACAACAAAAGACUAGUAGUCAGUUUGUAAGACUUUGGAGAGCAUUUAUUUUUACACAACUACCACCUUCUUCGUCCUUUUUAAUCUUCCUCAUCCGAAUGGAUGAUGAUCAUUUCUGGUGGUGUAUGUCGUGGUGGUGUAGCACUUUUAAUUGAACUUUCACUUGGAUCUUCUUCUCCACCUUCGUUUUCCUUUUUGUACUGACUCAUUUGGUGGUUCUCUAGCCAAAGGAUUUUCGAGAUCUACUGGAGGCCACCUAUUUCCAUUCUCUUCUAUAAGUUCCACUACUACGGAAUUGUAAACAUUAUCAUUAUUGAUUCCAUCAUCAUCAGCAGCUUCAACAACAUGCCUUCUUGUUCUAAUGCUAUGCUUUGCAAUACGCUUUUGGGCUUGAAAGGUGUAAUUGCGCCUUCUAAUUGCGGUCUGUUUAAUUAUCUCCUUAACCAGAUCUCGGGUGGCACUUCGAAUAAGGCUUUUAUAUCGAUCAGGAUUUGUUGGAAUACACCCAUAAUAGGAGAGGUGGAAUUCUCCACACGAUCCAUCACUUAUAUUAGACUCCAUUGUAUCUGUCAAGGCCAUAAAGAAAUAAGACAUCUAGAAUACAAUAAUUGUAUAACAGCUUGUCAAACUUGUAACAAAACAAAACUUCCUUCUUAAAGGUAAGAAUACUUAAACUGGAAAUUCUAACUCAAAGGAUUGUAAACCUAAUGCUCUGAUACCAAUUUGUCACGCCCUAAAAUUUUAUUUUUUUUUAUUUUUUUUUUUGGAGCAUGAAUAACAAGGGUAACUUAAAGGUAGUAACAGGUGUCUGUGUUGAACUAAAACAUUUCAUUAAACAAAAUAAUUUACAUUGUCAUUACACGUAAGAGAAAACGACAACUACUCCAUAACAAGUUUAAACUAUUUAUAAGCAGUCUCUUUCUUCCGAGUCAGCCACUAGAUUCCUGUCUCUUCUCCUGUAACACAACUAAUAAGGGUGAGCUAAAAGCUCAGUAGGGGCCCAAGGUCUCACGUGAUUAAUAUUAUGAAUGUUAUGAAUAUUUUAUGAAUAAUGUAAUGCAAGAACAAUACUUCUUUUCUACCCAACCCGUUAACCUAUAUAUUGAAGCAACCAGACCUGCAUGUCCCAUACCAUGCAUUUUACCACUGUGGCCCCGAGUGCUUUAAUAUAUAGAAUAACCCCCAUCAACUCACCCAAGUUCAUAAUCCCUUUUGCUAGUCAUCUUAUCUGAUUCAUUGAUCUCCAGCCCAAAUCACCCACAUCGACAAUUUCCGUCAAUAUCCUAUUCUAUUGUGCACAUCGGGCUCGCCUGGAACUGGUUUCACAAUGAGCAGACUCAACUACACAAAAGCUAAUUUCCACCUUUUCCCACAACACAAGUAACUCCUUUACUUCUUUGACAAAUGAUAAUGAUCAUGCCAAUAUAUAAUAUACCACAUAACAAUCAUAUCUAAGUCAAUAGUUGAAUACAUCUCAAGUCCACAUAACAAUAUUUCCCGUAAUACAAGUAACAAAUGCAAUCAAUUAAUUCCCCAAAUUCCCCUACCUUGAAUCCUCUCUUCUUACUCCACGAGUACUUCUUUUGCUUAUCUCCUUUUUAACACUCUCUUACACACUUUCUACAUACGGGGCGUAUUGCACUUUGCAAGAGGAAAAAAUCUAACACAUAUGGAGCAUUGCUCCUAUUUUAUACCAUAAAUAAGGCGGCAAAGUGGUUCUCAUUGGUUAUCAGUUUCAACAUCAAAUGCUACUCCACCAUUCCACGUUAGCUAUAGGCUUGCUUAAUCACCAACCUAGGCUUCAAUAGUCAUCACGCUAAGGUGCUUACUAAGCACCCUAAAAGCCCUACAUGAUAACACCUCAACUACAUUCUUUUCACCAACAAGUUAAUCUAAUGUCCUUGGGUCGGCAUAUGGAGUGAACUACGUGGCAAACUUUGCCACUCCAAGAAAGCCAUUUGACCUCACUUUCCUAGUCCAAAAGAGUUAAUAACCAUUUUAUAAGGUUCGUAGUAAAUUAAUUUCAACCCAAACUUAACUAACCUAAGUUAAAUAAAAGAUGUCCCCCUUUAAGCAAGAUUAAAUAAAAAGAGAAGUCUAAAAGUUUAAUCAAAAUGAGCACGUAGGAAAAAGGUGUAUAAAAUUCAGAAAUUAUGGGACUCCACACAAGGGCUCAACACAUUCUGAGCCAACCUAGAUACCAGCUUGGGCUGGUAUUAGGAAAUAUUUUUCAUUACUCAAAAGAAUAACUUUACACUUGGGUUUUAUACAAAAGCAUCACAGCUUAACAUAAAAGGAAUCACUACCAAAACUAACUUAAUAUUCCUUAUCAUUACUUAAUCCCGAAGUAUUAUCCCUUGAAGGUGUAAUUACAUUUUUGUCCCUAAUACUGGGUGCCAGCCUAUCUGCUCGGCUGGAUACUGGGCCAAUAAUUUAGCGGGUACCAGCCUAAAGGUUCCCCGAUAGAACUGCUCUAAGAAAUAAAAGGGGAGACAUCAAGGGGACAAUGCUUGUUUUUCUUUUUGACUUUUGCAAAUGGAAAAAGGCUAUGUUUUCGGUGAAAGCACCAUUCUUUUGUUUUUUUUUUAGGAAAAUGUGAAAGCACCAUUCUUCUUUUUUUUUUUUUUUUUUUUUUUUUUUUUGGAAACGUGAAAGCACCAUUCUUUGGUGAAAAGAAUAGUGUGGUCUUUUGUUUUCUGAGAGAAAAAAAGAGAGAGCUACGCAGAGCUCAAAAUUGGCAGAGAGUUGAGAGCACAGAGGGUGCACCAGAAAAACAGAGAAGGAGCGGAUGAGUAAGAGGAUGAAUGGGGGUGAGGGUGAGGGUGGUGAACGGAUCAGCCUUUUCGACAGGUCUCAAAACGAAAUCAUGAAGCUCAUUUUUGCAGUGAAUUACCGUGUUCCUGAUGAGGGCCAUGCCAGCUUUGAUGUUCAUGCUAUUUUCUCGACUAGUCAGAAAAUCAUUAAGGAUUCGGCCAACAUCAUUCACAAUAUUAAUGAGCAGGUAUUUAUACUGCUGCUCCUUUCUAUCUACUCUUAAUAACUUUAAGCAGUAAGAAAAAUAGUGCUCAUUUAGUUUUAUUUAUUUUUUAUUUUUAAAUAGUGGGUACUCGACAACUCUAAACUGUUCGUGUUUUUUUUUCUUCUUUUUAUAUUUUUUCCUUACGACUGUUUUUUGUUUCUUCCCGUUCUGACUGUUAUGUUAUGAGAAUUACACUACGGACAAACUUCUAAUUGCAAACUUGAAACUUGACUCGAUUUAUUGAUCAGCAGUACCCAAAAAUAGCCAAAAUGUUACAUGUAUAGGACAAGGAUCCUCGCCGGAUCAUUUUUUUUAGGGAUCCUAAAGAUUCCGCAAUCGUGUCCGUUCAUCAUACAUUAUGGAGUUAGUUUUCGUUAGGUACUUUUAUAUUUGAAUUUUAAAUUUUAAAUAAUUUCUCACUACACAAGAUAAACGAAUACGAUUGCGGGAUCUCUAGGAUCCAUAGGAAAAUGAUCCUCGCCGGAUCCUUUUCCACAUCAAUAGGAUUGCUUGAUUUGUGAAAAAAAAAAAAAAAAAAAACUCAGAUUAAAUGUUUAAAGAAAUGCACUUCAGUAAUGUCUUAGUGUUUAAGAAUAAUUAGAUAUUAGUUGAAACACCCAAAGAUGUUUACCACUUUUGCAUGUCUUAUCGCAGGGCAGCGGAUUUAAUGAUGUUGAAACACCCAAAGCCAGCUCCAGCUUGUGCACUCUUAUUAAGGAGAAAUUUUUAAAUGUGACGGGAACACGAUUCGGUACCUCAAGUAUCAUAAUACGAGUGGUUGGAAAUUGGAUAAAAAAAAAUUUCAACAACUUGUUUUAUGACACUCGGUGUACCGACCCAUAUUCCCGGCACUUUAAAAAAUCUCUUCUUAUUAUUAACUCCUUUGGCUGCAAGGUCAUCAUAUUAACUGAAUGCUAUUUUCCUUUUGUUCUUAAUUUGGUAAUCCUUUUAGUAAUUACUGGUGAAAAUGAAAAUGUUGUUUAAUUUUUGUUUAAGACAUAAAUGUCAUUACCAAAUAUCUUUGAUUGAAGUUUGAUGUUAAAUUAAUUAGAUUUUUUAGUUUAUUUUUUUAGCACUUUUAAUCAUAGCUUCAUUGAUGCACCUUCCAAUGGAAAAGUGUUUUAUCCAAAGAUGAAAAUCCUAUUGUCCCGUUUUAUGUUGUUAACAACACUAUGAUGCAAUUUCAGAUGUCGUGUAAGAGUUCAGGUGAUGAAACUUCCUUUGAAUCACGUACGGAAGAAAUACUUACAAAACUAUCGAGUUAUCCAUGUGAAGUACAGGUAGUAUUGGCCCUGGCAGUUUUUGCUUUGGAAUAUGAAGAAUGUUCCAGUCAACUUUCCAAGAAAUCGACAACGCUGAAACGCCAAGAUGCAGUAGUCGAGCUUAACAAUCUGGUCAACCAAGCGUUACAAGUGAUUGAGCACAUCCUUGAGUUGGAGAAACUAGUUUCUUAUGAUCGAGACAGUGAACCAAAAUUGGCGAGGGUAAUUAUGGAUACCCCAUUUAAUGCCUACUGGUCAAUCAUAACUCUUGUAGCUUGCGCAACUGAGCUCUUUUUUCUUACCGGUGAUGAGUAAGUUCUUGUACUAAUUUUUCUAUUAAGAUUUGAUAAAAGAAAACAAAAACAAUUCUUCUUGCCAACUACGUAUACGG
rnacentral:lncRNA from 1 species